rnacentral:lncRNA from 1 species
GGUGCAGCAAUCUUACUCUCAAACAUUUCUUCUGAUUCUCGCCGUUCAAAGUAUGAUCUUAAACACACGGGUUCACAAGACAAUUGUUACAAUUCAGUCCUACAAAAAGAAGAUGAAACAGACAAAAUCAGAGGCAUAGCACUUUCGAAAGACUUGAUGAGUUCAGCAGGUUUAGCACUUAAAGAAAACAUUACGACACUUGGAAAAUAUGUUUUGCCUUUACUAGAACAAUUAAAGUUUGCUACAUCUUUUGUUGUUAAAAAGUACAUAAACAAGAAUAUGAAGGUUUAUACACCUGAUUUUAAGUUGUGUUUUGAGCACUUUUGUAUUCAUACUGGUGGAAAAGCUGUUCAAGAUGAGAUGCAAAAAGUGCUUGGAUUAAGUGAUUGGCAAAUUGAGCCUUCAAGGAUGACACUUUAUAGAUUUGGUAAUACUUCAAGUAGUUCUGUUUGGUAUGCUUUGGCUUAUUGUGAAGCCAAGGGAAGAAUAAGAAAAGGUGACAGGAUUUGGCAAGUUGCAUUUGGUUCUGGAUUUAAGUGUAAUACUACUGUUUGGUGUGCAUUAAGGAAUGUUGAUCCAAUUAAGGAUAUUAAUCCUUGGAGUGAUGAGGUUCAUGAAUUUCCUGUUGAUGAUUGAAAUUGAAGUGGGGAUUUUGUAUAAUGUAAGUUGCAGUAUCUUAAUAUCUAUCUUUCUAUCAAUUUUUUUUAAUCAAAUAAAUGCUAAUAUAUAUAAACUAGAAUAUGUACAUCUGGGGGAUAUCUUUCUAUCGAAUCAAAUUUGUCCAACUUUGUAUGUUACAUCACAAUAUAAAUAAUGAAUAUAUAUGUAUGUGUGUUUAUCCCAUUACCAAUGAGCUCUUAGUUAUCCUAUUCUAAGGGUUAAAAAAAAAAAUUGAAUUGGCUAAAUGAAUAUGUAAGACUUUAAACCCGAGCAUAAGACAUACCAGGAUCGGCAAAUCUGCCUACAUCAGGCCCCAAGGGAAAUGCAUAAACCAUCCAUGCUUUGACAGCAAAACCACACAAAAACUAACUAAAAGCCAGGCUGAAAACAAAAACACCAGAGUGAAACAGAAAAGGAAGAGCUUGAUGGAGGAAACUUAGCAGGCCACACAAAAAAAGCAGCCCCAGCCCUACCUCUUGACCCAACAGAAGACCCUGCUGACCGCCUCUGCAGCUGCAGCGACCUGGCGGAAACAAUUGAAGCUACAGAAUCGUAAGACAAAAAAAUUGAAGAACAAUCUGCCUAGGCCGCUUGAGCCACAACUGCAAAUAUAGUUAACUAUUACUCUAUUAUCUACCUAAAUGUGUUAUCUUUAACCUGUCACUAAAGCAUUCAGCUCAGAACAAAUAAGAGGUUUCAUAAAGACAUAAGUUGCCAACAAAAUGUUACAAUUGAAGUAAUGGGGGUGAAGAAAUCAAUAUGAUAAAAAAUAUAUAUAUUUUAUUCAUUAAAUUGAUAAUAGAGAAAAAUCAACAACGGAGUCAUUUGAAUAGUAUAAAAUUCUAUAGUGUAAACAAACAAGUAUGUUGCAGAUUAUCACUAAGAUUGAUGAACAAGAACACCAAUAUUUUUGUGUGAAGAAAGAAAAUUCCCUUCAUCAUUGAUACCGGCAUAUUCAUCUUUGAAGUAUCGUUUUAUGGUUGUCUAGCUCUUGUUGAUCUUCUCACUUGCGAUUCUUGCUUGUAUAGAAUUGUGUACUAGGAUGGUUUUUGCCAUCUUAGAUUGAAUGUCAAGAACGAACGCCACAUCUCUGCUUUGAACAACCUUAUUCUUUGCAGGAACCCUCGAAACCCAAGUUCAUCUUUUUGGUGAACCAAAGUAUAUGCACUCUUUUGACUUAGUAUCAAGCUUUAAUCUUUCAUCUCUUGAAAUAUGUACUUUCUCAUAUAAUUUCAUGGAAUUCAAUAAUCUCCAAAUGACCUAUGGACUACCCACCAUUUUCAGUUCUCAAACAUUUCAGCUUGUUUCCAUAUGCUUAUUCAACAGAAGCAAGGAACACUUUGAAAACUUUAAGAACUUGAUCUUUUGUCUUCAAUGGAUACACUCUAUUAGAGAUAAGCUAGCCUAGUUAGUUAUAAGUAUAACUGACAGCUUUCAGUAUUAGUCUAGCAUGUAACCUGCUACUGCAGGUUACCUGAUUGCUACUAUAAAUGCAUCAAUUGUAAUAUUGAGAUCAAUCAAUGAAAGUCACAAAAGUUAGUUUACAAAUAGAAUUAUGAAUAGUGUAAGUAUAGCUUUCUAACAUGGUAUCAGAUUGCUAACACGACCUCCGGCCAUGGCGUCUUCAUCAGCGGUGUCGCCGCCGACUUCCGCUCCUGCAUCAACUACGUCGGUACCUGUAGCUUCGUCCGUCAAUGACGAUCUGCGUCGUCUCAAUUUCGCCCUCAAAAUCGCUCACAAGCUCGAUGAAAAGAACUUUCAUCUAUGGCGUCAACAAGUUGAGUCUUACAUCAACGCACGCAACCUCACUGAAUUCGUAGUAUGUGCGCAAAUUCCUCCGCAAUUCCUUAAUGAUGCGGACUGUAACUCCGGUACGAUCAACCCUGCGUAUUCGGUUUGGCUUCAGAAAGAUCAAAUGUUAUUGUCCCGGCUUCAAUCUACUCUAUCCAGCGAGAUUCGCAUCAGUUAUGGGAUCGCUUAUUCAACUAUUUCCAAAAACAAACUCGUGCUCGAGCUCGUCAGUUGAGAGUGGAGUUAUGCGCCAUUAUCCUGGAUAAAUCAUCAAUUCAAGACUAUCUAUCUCUUCAAGAUUCGCACUAUUAUUGACCCUAGCUUCGAUUGGUGAUUUUAUUCCUCCUUCACAUCACAUUGAUGUGAUUCUUGAAGGCUUACCUGAUGAUUAUGCAUCAAUUGUGUAUGUUGUUGAAAUCAAAUUUGGAGUUAUGGAUAUUGAUGAGGUUCAAAUCUUACAAGUUGCUCAUGAACCUUUAGUUCAAGAAACCUUUAGUUCCUGACCUAGCCUCUCUCAAUCUCACUCACAUUGUACCUUCUCAUCUACCUCAGGAUGAGGCUGCAACUGCUAGUUCAGAUUCCUCUCCUUCCCUAAUGGCAACACCUAACACUGACAAUGAUUAUCAAGCUCUUCGUGGUAGUUAUGGCAGAGGAAGAGGCCGACCUGGCAGAGGCAGAGAAGGUAGAUUCUCUAACUCUACCCUGCAAUGUCAAGUUUGCUCUAAAUUUGGUCAUUCUGCUUUACAAUGCUGGCAUGUUUUCAAUCAAAACUUUCAGUCUUCUUCAUUCAAUGGCAACAACUCAUUUGGUGCUCCUCAGCAACCUUGGCAUAAUUACUCUUAUGGCAACAAUGUUUGGAACAGACAAGACUUCUCUCAUGAGGCCUUCACCUCCCUUUCAAGCUCCUCCAAGCACCUUCAUUGCCAACACCUUGCCCUCUACUUCUACCUUCUGGUUUCCUGACUCAAGAGCCUCCUUUCAUGUGACUCGUGAAGCCAAAAACAUUCAGUAGGCCGCACCUUUUAAAGGUCCUGUCAAAUUUCCAUUGGCAAUGGCCAAGGUUUGCGUAUCUCCUCUAUUGGCUCUAGUUCUUUUCCUUUCCUAUUCACCCUCACACGCAACUUACACUUAACAAUCUUCUACUUGUACCUUCUAUAGCUAAAAAGCUAAUCAGUGUCAGUCAGUUUUCAAUGGAUAAUCAUGUUUAUUUUUCGUUUUCUGUUGAUAAGUGUCUUGUUAAAUCACAAAAACUGAUGUCACUCUUCUUGAAGGUCAUGUUGGAACUUAUGGGCUUUAUGAGUUUCCUUCUAUAGCAUUAUCUCCUCCUACAAAGUCUUCCACUAUAUCUAUGUCUGGUUUGCUUUUCAAUAACAAUGUGCCUAGUAUUAAUUCUACUUGUAUAGGAUCUAAGCUGUCUAGUGUGUGGCACCUUAGACUAGGUCAUCCUAGUUUGAAUUCCCUAAGACUUAUUCUAAAAACUUGUAAUAUUCCAUUUCGUUCUAAAGACAAUAAUAUAUUUUGUACUGCAUGUUGCAUGGGCAAAACUCACAUGUUACCGUUCGCUUCACACAUCACACACUCUACACCCUUAGAAUUAAUAUAUUGUGAUUUAGGGAGACCUUCUGUCGCACCUCGAAAAAAUGGGGAUACGACUUCAAAGCGAAGCGCGAUCGCACGCUCGCAAUGAUGGACUGAACAGAGUCGCCACCGAACUUUAUUUAUUCCUAAAAAGGAAAGGGGAAAUAAAUAUCGAUAAAACCAGACAAAUGAAAGGAUAAGAUAUGGUCAUCGCAACCAAUAUCAGGGUUCGGGAGUCGAUUACGCAAGGGGAAGGUAUUAGCACCCCUCACGUCCGUUGUACUCACGGAACCAUUAGGUCAGUUGUGUGCGUUAAUGUUAGUUUGAAAUGAUAGGCUUUUCAAAGUAUUGGUGGGAAAGAAGAAUAUAAGAGAGAAGAAAUGUUUUUGGUUUUUGACGAGGACUAAACCUAAGUUUUUUUAUAAUGGCCUGACAGAUUUACAAAUCCUGCUCCACCGUAUCUCAAAAGAGAAUCAAGGCUUACGUAGUUCUGGUAGAAAAUGUUUGUUUGUUGGUCGAUUUUAGCGAAGCUAUACUGUAUUAUCGACGAAAACAUUGUUUACCAAAACAGAUGAGAGUGGACGCAUACCACAACAUCGAACGAUUUAUAAAUCUACAUUCGGAAAAAGCGUCGUUUAUCUCUACUCAACAAUCGUGGCCGAAACAUUGCUUUGUAUCACUUAAGACAAUAUUCUUUCAUUAUGAAAAAGGUUUUUGAUUAAUCGCACGGCGCGAGAAAAAAGUUUGAUUGGUUUGGAUGUAUUUGAGUGAUGGCGAGAACUUGGAUGAGCGAGAUAUACAUCUCGAAUACUAGUCUCAGGAGUGCAUGGUAUACACCAUGUUCCAUUUCCAUCUUAUUGAAAAAGGUUAAGAUAGGAAUUAAGUAUUUGGAAUUUGAAAGACGAGUACUUGUGACUUACAAGCUCUUACAGCUGGGUCUAAUACUCGGGACUACGUCUGGACAUUCCACCAGACAGUCUGUUUCUUUCCAAUAUUGCUACGAAAAUGAUUCGGAUAUUUAUGAAUGUUUUGGAGGGAAGACGAAUAUUUAUGGCUUGCAAGCUCUUACAGCUUGAGCCUAAUAUUCGGGAUUACGACUGAUAUUCCCUCCAGGUAAUCUUUUUCUUCACAUUUUACUUGGAAAAUGUUUGAAUAUUUGUGUGUUAAAGAGAGACGAUAUUUUACGGCUUACAAGCUCUUACAAUUUGACCUAAUAUUCGGGAUUACGACUGGAUAUUCCUCCAGGUAAUCUUUUCUUCACGUUUAUUUAGAAACGAUUUGAAUAUUAGAGGGGUGGAAGUGAAGACGAUAUUUAUGACUGGCAGCUCUUACAGCUUGAGCCUAAUAUUCGGAUUACGACUGGACAUUCCAUCCAGGUAAUCUUUUUCUUCACGUUUUAUUUAGAAAAUGGUUAGAUACUCAGGGUAAUGGAAUGGACAAGUGAAUGCGAGCAUGCAAAAAGAAAAAGAGCUCAUUGUAGAAGGCCAAGAGUAAGCGACAGGACUGAAUGCCAACUGAAACCGAGAGCAACUGAAUUUAACUCCAAGCUAACUUGAGUGAUUUAUGUAUGAAUCACUCUAUAAGAAGUCGAGCAAACAUCUAUGCGUCCAGACAAUUUUUGGAAGUUAAAUUGAAUUGAACUCCGAAAUACGACGCAAUAAUACACCAAACAGCAGCAACCAAAGAUGUUAUUAUUACAGUAGUGUCACAAUUUUUUUACAUACACCAAAGUAAUCGAAAAAUAGAAAGCUACACGAACACAUGAUAUAAUGAAUUUGUAUUGCUUACAAAAUUGACAUAAAGCAAAAAUAAAAAAAAUCAAAAUAGUAUAGUAUAUAUAUAUAAUAUAUUAUAUAUAUAUAAUAUAUAUAUAUAAUAUAAAUAUAUAUAUAUAUAUAUAAUAUAUAUAUAUAUAUAUAUAUAUUAUAUAUAUAUAUAAUAUAUAUAUAUAUAUAUAUAUAUAAUAUAUAUAUAUAUAUAAUAUAAUAUAUAUAUAUAUAUAUAUAUAUAUAUANNNNNNNNNNNNNNNNNNNNNNNNNNNNNNNNNNNNNNNNNNNNNNNNNNNNNNNNNNNNNNNNNNNNNNNNNNNNNNNNNNNNNNNNNNNNNNNNNNNNNNNNNNNNNNNNNNNNNNNNNNNNNNNNNNGCAAGCUCUUACAGCUUGAGCCUAAUAUUCGGGAUUACGACUGGACAUUCCAUCCAGGUAACCUUUUUCUUCCAACUUUUAUUUAGAAAAUGAUUUUGAAUAUUAGAGGGUGGAAGUGAAGACGAAUAUUUAUGACUGGCAAGCUCUUACAGCUUGAGCCUAAUAUUCGGGAUUACGACUGGACAUUCCAUCCAGGUAAUCUUUUUCUUCGCGUUUUAUUUAGAAAAUGAUUUGAAUAUUAAAUUAAAACAAAUAAGGUACCGAGGUUUGAAAUUAUUGAAAGUUAAGUUCAUUGUAAGAAGGCCCAAGAGUAAGCCACAGGACUGAAUGCCAACUGAAACCGAGAGCAACUGAAUUUAGCUCCAAGCUAACUUAGAGUGGAUUUAUGUAUGAAUCACUCUAUAAGAAGUCGAGCAACAAUCUAUGCGUCCAGACAAUUUUCGGAAGUUAAAUUGAAUUUGAACUCCGAAAUUACGACGCAAUAAUACACCAAACAGCAGCAACCAAAGAUGUUAUUAUUACAGUAGUGUCACAAUUUUUUACAUACACUCAAAGUAAUCGAAAAAUAGAAAGCUAACACGACACAUGAUAUAAUGAAUUUGUAUUGCUACAAAAUUGACAUAAAGCAAAAAUAAAAUAAAUAUCAAAAUAGUAUAUAUAUAUAUAUAUAUAUAUAUAUAUAUGAAAAACUUAUAGCUACUGUGUAUAUAUACAGAAAAUUGAAAGUAACGUAUAUACAUUUAGAAAUUGAAAAAUUAAAAAAUUGAAACUAAAUAAAAAAUAUAUAUUUAUAUAUACUGGACCUAAAAACAUACAUGUUAUAAAAAUUGCAAACUAGAAAAGAAAGAUAUAUACAUUUAUAUAUACCAAACUUAAAAACACAUAUAUUAUAUAACUUAUUAACUAAUAUAUAUAUAUAUAUAUAUAUAUAUAUAACCAAAACUUGAAACUGAAACUUGAAAGUAGAAACAUAUAUAUGUUAUAUAACUUGAAACUGAAACUUAAUAUAUAUAUAACCAAAACCAGCAUGUACAUAUUAAAAUAAUACAGUGCAAAAUUAGUAUAUAUAGAAAAAUGAAAUGCAGCAAACAAUAUACAUAUAUGUAUAUACAUGAGAAUCAACACAGAAUAUGAGAAUUAAUACAGAAAGUAUCUACACGUAACAUAAACGAAAACGACAUACGUGAUGCAAUAUCACAUGAUUCAAAACAUAAAAUAACAGUAGCAACAUAUAUACAGCAGAAUUGAAAUAGAACACAUCUGAAAACAUAACAUCUUUCAAGUCAAAACAUUACCGGAUGCCAAGUGACAAUGUUGUGUGAUACCAGUGUGGAAUCCUUGAACCGUGACGGGAGGAUAUGCUCAUAUCGAGGUUGUUUGUGUGUGUUCGUCGCGAUGAAUCGAGAACAUAAACAUUGGUGAUGAGGGAGAUUCGAUUUUUGUUUGGUUCAGUGGCUUGUUGCUGUAGCGUUUGGAAGGGAGUAUGGUGUAGAUCAUAAACUCGUCGGUGGUAAGGGUGUUGCUAUGGUGAAAGAGAAAUUAGUAGUAGAGGUUAUGGAGGAUCUUACAUGAAAAAGGGAGCAACUUGUUAUGUUGGUGGUUCAUGAAAGUUUUUGUUGCUUUUUGUGAGAUGUAGUUUUAGGAAGAAGAUGGAGAUUUCGGGGUUGAACGAAGGAAGUGUGAUAAAGUUAGUGUUCAGUGAAGGAGAAUAGUGAAUGUUUAUGGUUCUUACAUGGAAGAAGAAUGUGGAGUUGGGAAGAUUUUUGUUUGUGAGUUUUUUAUGAACAUGAAGGUUAGUGUAUGGAUGAGGUGGAAGAGAGUGAGAGGUUUUUAGAGGUGAGUGAAAAGUUAUCGGUUUGGUUGUGUAGAAUUUUUUUGUAUAUAGAGUCUUUUUAAGAUCAUGUGUAUAUGCCUAGUGAGAGAAGGCGUGAAGAAGUGUGUAGAGGACAAGGUGAUGUAGCUACUACUACUAGAAAGAAAAGAAAAUAUUUUUUACGUGAGAGAGAAAAGAUACCAUAUUCAUGCUAACAUUGUUUUUUUCUCUUUUUUUCACUCUGACCAAAAACCAUAUUGAAAAAGGUUGUCUCAAUGAUACCUUAGUUUUUUUGUAAAUUAAUUUUGAACAUCCACAAAUGGCCUUGCAGAGCUUAAAAAAUGAGUUUUAAUUUUUGAGUCAAAAUAAAAUAAUAAGAAAAAGGUUUUUAAAUAAGAAAGAUAGAAUUAAAAUAAAAAAGUAAUUAAUUAUAUUUGUUUUUUUUUUAUGAACAUUUUGACUAAAAAAAUAAAUAAAAUGAUUCAAAAUAAAUAAAAAUCGGGCGCAAAAAUGCCCGGAAAAAUUAAACUGAAUGCACCAAAAUGAUCGACGCGAAAUAAACUUCUCGGAAACAUACAGGUUUUGAUCAUAUUUUGAAAUAGAAAAUGCCCGGUUAAACAGGCUCGAGCUGAUCAAAAAGUGGCCAAAAAAUUAGCUGAAAAAUAAAUCGAGCAUACCAGAUUAAACUACGCGAAACGUAGAUUAAUAAAAUUGAUGUCUAGAAGCUUGAUUUUUUUAAAAAUAAAAAUAAAAAUUCAUCCACUGAUUUGACGCACAUUCGUUGACUAAUUCAACCGGUUUGUCUGUAGAUCCGAAAAAAUUAUUUCGACUGAUAUUUUAGGCACUAUGCGGUAUGGAAUGCAUGGUAUGAACUGAUUUGACGCACAUUCGUUGACUAAUUCAACCGGUUUGUCUGUAGAUCCGAAAAAAUUAUUUCGACUGAUAUUUUAGGCACUAUGCGGUAUGGAAUGCAUGGUAUGCUAUGUAGACAUGCAAUAGCUAUGAUUAAUGUGUUGAAUCAGCGAUUCAGGGUCAAAAUUGGGGUAUGACACCUUCCCCUAAUUCAUCUACUCUGGGGUUCUCUUACUAUAUGUCAUUUGUGGAUGCAUACUCCAAAUUCACAUGGUUUUACUUGCUUAAAUAUAAAUCUAAAGCACUAAUCAUUUUUAAACAAUUCAAGUCUAUGGUUGAACUUCAACAUUGUUAUCCUAUUAAAGUUGUACAGUCUAAUUGGGGAGACAUUGUUAUCCUAUUAAAGUUGUACAGUCUGAUUGGGGAGGGGAGUUUAAACCCUUCACCAAAUUCUUAUCUAAUUUAGGUAUUGUCCAUAGAGUCAGUACGGAGCCCCCAAUCUAUCUCAGGUGUACUCUCAAAGCCUGGAUAUUGGACUUAUCACUAAAUAGCAUCAUGAAACCCAUCCUACAAUAGAGAAAUACAACAGAUAUAUCCAGGAUAUAAUAUAUGAAAGCAAUAAAGCAUGUGAUAAUAAUGAUAAUAAAACAAGUAAAAAUAGUAAAGAUAAACACUAAAACAAACAAGAAACAAACAAAACUAGGCUCGACUCCUACUUGCAAGAGCAAGGACUCCCCAGCAGAGUCGCCAACUGAUGGGGAUGCCCACCAGCUGAUAUCCCCAACAGAGUCGUCAGCUGAUGGGGGGUCCCACCCGUUGAUGUCCCAGUGUUUGCAUUGCUAUGUUGGUUUGAAGUGUUGGUAUUAAAAUGUGAUUGUUUGGUUCAAAUGCCAUGAGUCCAAGUAACUUAAAAUAUUACUGCAGUAGUUUCUUUCUUUUAUAUUUGCUGCACUGGUGAAGUUUGGAAAGAAUGCAUGUAUGUUAUGCUUGUUAAUGGCCUAUUUGUAGUUUGAAAUAAAGGACCUAUUGUGAACUGAAUGUUGAUGAGUUUUAGGAUGUAACACGUAGGCUUGUUGUUUGGUAAUUGCUCUAUUUGUGAUUCUGAUUAAAUCUUGUCGUUAACAUGUUAAUAUGCCUGCUAGUGCAUGAACUUUGUGGGAUAUCUUUGACAUUGCCAAAAACUCAGUCCAAAUGGUGUUGUUGUCAUGUACUCUGCCUUUUGGAAAAGUUCACAUAGUCAUGUCAACGAACUAAACUUGAAUUGCAUACUGCAUUGUGCUAGAUGAUGCCUUGGUGUACAUGUUGCUUCAUUAAAAUUUGGUUGAACACUUCAUGAAAUGAUGCUUUGGUGUAUUUGAAUGCAGGUUGUUUGUGAUGUGUAAGGUUGCCUUGACUUGGAGUUUUGGUCAUGAUUCAAGAAGGCUUGAAGUGAAGACUCGUGGUGAUAACUUAAAGAAACAAAGCUUGCUUGCUCAUGAAGAAAGGUUUGGCCAUGAAAUCAAGUGAAAUGAUGGAGAGAAAAAAUGAAGAAUUAAAGGACAAUAGGAUUAGGAAUAUGGAAAUUAGGUCAGUUGACUUUGGUCAACUAGUUGACCAAAAAGUCAACAAUUAACCAAAGUUAAUUAUGGGUCAAACUCUUAUUUUAUUUUUUUAUGAAACUCGGAAUUGGUAUUUGUAUGAAUAAAUGGACCUUUUGAAUGGAAACAUUUCCUUUUAAUUCAAAGAAACAUGCUUUGCUUUCAAAUUAGAACUUUGCCUCCAAAAUUCAUGUUUGAAUCAUAGCCUUAAAAUGAAUGAAUCAUGGACUUUGAAAUACUUGAACAAAUGAACUUUGAAUAAGAACUAUGAAAUUUGAACAAAUGGACUUUGAAUAAGAACUAUAAAACUUGAACAAAUAGAUUAUGAAUGCAUGAUGAAUCAUGAGCCAAUGAACUAGGAAUGCAUAAUGAAUCAUGAGCCAAUGAAUGCACUAUGAAGCAUGAAUCAAUGGACUGUGAUGCUUGAACAAAUGGACCAUGAAUGGACCAUAAACCUAGAAUCAAUGGACUUGAAUGGAAACUAGAAUGCAACAUGACUAAGACUUGAAUGAAAGCUUGCAUAAGACUUGAAUAACAUGACCUUGGAUCAAAUGAAUCAUCAAGCAAAUAAACAUAUGAUAGGUCAUGGUCAAUAGAUGAUAAAUCCUACGAUUGACUUCUGCUUGACCACAAUCAAGAAUGAUGUUUGACUCCAAAUAACAAUGGUAUGAUGCAUCCAUAAUGAUCAAGAACCAUAUUCCAAUGAAUUAAGGUUCCGCAGUUAACCACAAGCUCAGUAGACAAACCACAUUGUCCACAAAUGCCAAGCAUUCAUGAUUAGGAUUUGAAGAUGCAAACCACUUAAUCAAAGACCUCAAACCAAGUAAAAGACUCCACAAUCAAAUCCCAAUCAAAUGGUCCCCAUGAUUAGGGUUUCAUGAUCAAGUCCAAGUUCAUAAGGCAAACCACCUGAUCUAUGAGUACCAAAGAUCAAGAAUUAGGGUUUUAUGCAUAAGUGAAUACCAUGAUUGCAAUCUUCAUAAAUCAAGGUCUCAAGCACCAAGAAUUAGGAUUUCAUACCUUGAUUCCAAGUUAACUACACCACCACAAUCCCUAGGGUUUGAUCCUUGUGUAAAACUCUAGCUCUCGUUAGAUAUAAAUACCACAAACCUUAAAUCUAUGAUGUAUGUUGAUACAAUAGAUGCAUUGAAUGCAUUUGACAUGAAUGAGUACUGAUGAAUCUCACAUUAAAAGUCAGAUAAAAAGUAAAAAAGGGAAAGACAAAUUUUGGGGUAUGACACAUUUAUAAUGAAUAACAAUAAUAUUGUUAAUAGAAAUAAUAGAAUAAUUCAAUCCAGAUAUUGUACCUUUGCAAGUGAGACAAACAGCUAACUAAUGUUAUUUUUGGAGAUAGAGAAAACUAUUAAUCACUAAUAAUUUCUAACUUUAAAAAAAAUUAAAUAUGUUUUAGUCGUUUAAUUUUUAGUUUUUGUUAAAAAUUCCUUCAACUUUUCAUCUCUAUAUAAUUAUCCUGCAAAGUAUUUAUUUUAGUUGUUCAGAAGGUUUAAUAUUAAAAUAAUUUUUUAAAUAUAUUUAAAAAAUAUUAUAAAAGGUUUAUGUACAAAAAUAAAAUAAAAAAUUGAUUAAUAAUCAUAAAAAAAAUUAUUAAAAAAAAAUCUCAAACUCAACAUAUUAACUAACUAGUAACAACUAAACUGUGCAUGCUACUACUCUUUAAAUUGCGUAAGAUAUAUAUACUCUACACAUAAAAUAAUAUAUGAGUACUUUAAUCAAUAUUCAAAUUUUAUAACUCAUAAAUAAAAACAACUUACCUUGCUGAAGGAAAAACAAAAUACAAGGUUGCUUAUAUUUUAAGAAAUGAUAAUAACACACUUUUUAAUAUAAAUACUCAUACUUUCUUUUACGGAAUAAACUUCAUGUAAAUCCAACUAAAUUAUAUGGAGUCCAGCUAGAUAUUUGUUUUUGCAUAUGUGACAUAUUACAAAAGAGAUCCUCUAAUUUUUAUUUUCAAUUAGUUCAUUUUUACAACUCUAUAAAUAAGAAAGCUUUUAGACAGGAACCAUGGUGUAUCCAACAUCAUGAGCAUUUUCUCAAUGUCAUUCUUUUUCUUAGCUCAAUUCAAGUAUUUUUUCCUCUCCAUCAAUAGAGCCUUUCUAAAUAUCCAAAUAUUUUUCUCACCUUUACAAUGGUGUUUGUUAAUAGCAUCAAUAGCAACCUUUUACCUAAAGAAAUGCUCCAAAAAGAUAUAUCUAGUAGAUUUUGUUUGCUAUAAACCUUCCUCUAAAACCAUGUGUAGUAAGGAUUUGUUUAUAGAAAAAUCAAAAUGUGGAGGACAUUUUAAAGAUGAGAGCAUAGAUUUUCAAAAGAAAAUUAUGGAUAGGUCUGGAUUUGGUGAUAAGACUUAUGUGCCAGAAUCCUUAAUCGUAAUUCCACCAAGAAUUUGCACUAUGGAAGCAAUGAAAGAGACUGAAUCAGUGAUUUUUGGUGCUAUUGAUGAGCUUUUGUUGAAGACAAAAAUGAAGGUUAAAGAUAUUGAUAUUCUUAUAACAAAUUGUUGUAUUUUCAAUCCUUCACCUUCUCUAAGUGCUAUGGUUGUUAACCAUUACAAAUUUAAGGAUCGAAUUUUGUGCUAUAAUUUAAGUGGUAUGGGUUGUAGUGCUGGACUUGUAGCCAUCGACCUUGCCAAACAACUCCUACAGGUUAGAUAAUCUUUAUUUAAUUACUUUUGUUUUCUAUUUUAUCAUCACUCAUUUGUUUUGGCAAAUAGAUUUAUAUUUCAUCCUAAUUGCUAGCUGCAUUAAAUUAAUACAUGUGAUUUUACUGAAUAAAAAUGACAAAAUGCAAUGUUUUUAUGUUGCAACCAAAUUGAAAUCCAUUGUUAUGAUUACACUGGACAUAAUUUUCCACUUUCUCUCGUUGUUUUUUCCUUAACUUAUUGUGUACCCUUUAUUUUAUUGUAUUUUAUUUUUUCAUAUGCCUAGGUACAUCACAAUUCAUAUGCCUUAGUAGUGAGCACAGAAAAUAUCAACAGUGGAUGGUACUUAGGAAACAACAGAUCAAUGCUUGUUUCAAAUUGUCUAUUUCGUGUAGGUGGUGCAGCAAUCUUACUCUCAAGCAUUUCCUCUGAUUCUCACCGUUCAAAGUAUCAUCUUAAACACACUGUUUAUACACACAUCGGUUCACAAGACAGUUGCUACAAUUCAAUCUUUCAAAGAGAAGAUGAAACAAACAAAAUCACAGGAAUAUCACUUUCAAAAGACUUAAUGAGUUCAGCAGGUUUUGCACUUAAAGAAAACAUCACGACACUUGGAAAAUAUGUUUUACCUUUAUUAGAACAAUUAAAGUUUGCUACAACUUUUGUUGUUAAAAAGUACUUUAACAAGAAUAUGAAGAUUUAUACACCUGAUUUUAAGUUGUGUUUUGAGCAUUUUUGUAUUCAUACUGGUGGAAAAGCAGUUCAAGAUGAGAUGCAAAAAGUGCUUGGAUUAAGUGAUUGGCAAAUAGAGCCUUCUAGGAUGACACUUUAUAGAUAUGGUAAUACUUCAAGUAGUUCUGUUUGGUAUGUGUUAGCUUAUUGUGAAGCAAAGGGAAGAAUUCGAAAAGGUGAUAGGAUUUGGCAAAUUGCAUUUGGUUCUGGGUUUAAGUGUAAUACUGCAGUUUGGUAUGCAUUAAGGAAUGUUGAUCCAAUUAAGGAGAUUAAUCCUUGGAGUGAUGAGGUUCAUGAGUUUCCUGUUGAUGUUUCAAUUUGAAGUGGGGAUUUGCAAAGUAUAUCAAUAUGUUACUGGUACAGAAUUAAUGACUAAUAGGUUGUAGUAUGUAUGAAAGUAAAUUGUUUUAAGUAAAACUUUGUACAUACACUUCAAGCUUUUGUACAAAGAUUGUAAGGAUGAAUUCAAAUGAGAAUAACAAAACAAUAAUUGGAGGAUAAAAUUACUGCUAAAUAAAAAGAAUAGCCCUUAGAAAUUUAAGCUAAAACACAGGUAGUUUUGUUACCUAAAGAAGCAGAAGCAAAAUCAAAACAGAUGCAGUCAUUCUGUCAAAUUAACUCUAGUUAUAUAACUUUUUAAAAAAAGGAACCUACUAGUUUAAAAUAUUUACCUAAAGGACUCUCCUUGUAGCUAAUGUUUCAUUACACAUUAUGUAGAAUAACUAUAAAGUAUAAACAUUCUUGGCCACUUUUACUUUUCAACUUGCAAAAGAAUCUGAGUAAAUAAAACGUGUCCUUAUGUGCAACUAAACAUGUAUGUGUUUAUCCCCUUACCUAUGACUUCUUAACUAUCCUAUACUAAUGGUUAACUUUUUUUUUGAUUCGGCUUAAAUGAAUAUGUUAGAAAUGAGACUCUAAAUCCGAGCACAAGACAUACUCAGAUCGCAAAUCUACCUACAGCAGGCCCCUAGGGUAAUGCGGAAACAACCCAAGCUUUGACACUAAAAGCACACAAAAACAAUAAAAAGCCAUGCUGAAAAAACAAAACACGAGCAAAACAGCAAAACAGAAGCUUGAUGACGGAAACAAAGCAGGCCACACAAAAAACAGAAGCCACAGCACUGUCCCUAGACCCAACAGCAGACCCCGCUGCCAAUGAAGCACGAAUACAUUAAAAUCUCUGGCAAAUUGCACUAAUCAAUGACCAUGCUUCUAUCCAAAUCGUUAAUCUCAAGUUUUCUUAUAAUUUUUCUAAGUCUUUCUCUACCUCUAGAUGUUUGACUUCUCUUCAUCUGAUUUACUCUCCUUACCACAAAAUUUAUAGAUUUUCUCUCUACGCGCUCAAACCACCUAAAUUUAUUUUCCACCAUUUUUUCUUCUAUUGGUACUACCCCAGCACUCUCUCUAGUAUUAUCAUUCUUAAUUUUGUUUGUUUUAGUCUUACCACAUAUCCAACGCAAUAUCUUCAUAUUUGCUACACUUAUUUUAUUUUCGUGUUAAUUAUCUGCUACACUUAUUUUGAGCAGUACAUUUGUGCACUAAAAUAUAGAAGUACUAAAAUAUUUUUAUGUCAGCCUAGGACCAAAUAGACAUUGUAAAAAAAAUCAAUGAAUUCUUAUUUCCGACAUAAUCACUCAGAUCAACAAAGAUAACAAACAAGGCAAAUCUCAUAGCCAUAAAUGCUAAUAAUGAUUCAGGAAAAAGAAUAUUCUAAUCAAUGAGUAUUAAUAAACCUAUGAGACAAAAAGCUAAACAGUGAAGCACUAAAGGAAGCACAUGAGAGUAAAAGCUAAAGCAUUGAGAAGUAGAAACAGAAGGAAAGAACAAUUCUAUUGAACGACGUGAAUGAAUCUUACCUGAUUGAUUCUCCAUUGAUUUGUUACAAUCAGAGCAUAACUUGCAAGUGAGAAAACGGAAGCAACAUUUGGAACUACCUGCAAUUGACAAUGUAGAGAUAAAUUGUGUCAGAUGUGUGAGUGAGGGGGAAAACGGAGAAAAAGGAGGAGGGGAAUUUCGGAAUUAGGGUUUACAGUGUCGACGAGUCUGAAGAACAAUAGUCUCGAUGGUGCUUAAGGUACUUGGCGGAAUUGAUAGUGAAUACGAGUGAACGUGCGAUACAGAGAAGAAUGAAGAAUGGUGGGACGUCGUGGGGAGAGCGAAGAACGGUGGAGGUUCAGAGUUAGGGUUACGUGGGAGAGAAGGGUUGAGGUGUUCACAUCAGUAUGGAUUGAGGGAAAGGAUCAGGAGGGAGAAAUGAAAGGGGCAGUGUUUGCCGCUCUUUAUUUUAUAUUUGGAUAAUUUAAAAUUUACAGAAGCUGACUGAAAGUAGUAUAGAAAGAUAUAUAAACUUAAUAAACAAAAUAUUUAACAGGGCACAAGUUUUUCUCAACAUCAUACUUAAUAAACAAAUAUUAAGUCUUGCUAGAACAAAAGAUAAAUAUAGGCCUAUUAUAGAUAAUGACUUUCUUCUUUAAGUAUUCCAUAGAACCUAAAAAAAUACAUAAAAUAAAUUAUGUUAAAUUUCAUUCGUCAAAGAUAAAAAAAUACAUAAAAGUGAUAAAUAAAUAUGUUAUCAUUAACAAAAAAGGAUAGUCUGAAUCAAUGAGAUGUAAUAUUUCCUUACGCUUAUCGAUCGGAAUUGCAUUAAAAGCUUUCAAUGCGCCAACAUUAUUAACAAGGUACAUGUAUAUAAGAGGCAAAGAAUUUUUUUCAACGACAAUCUCGAUCAAUUCUGCUCAAAUAUCUCCAUCAUUAGCAUUCUUACUUUGUUUGACCAACUCCAUUUUGUUCAUUUCAAACACAUCAACCAUUUUUUUUGAAAGUUUUGGAAAUUUCAAUCAUGCUUGUAUCAUCUUCAAUAACCUUCUUUACCCGCUUCUUAGUCUUAGAUGAUGAUGCAUCUUGAGAAUUGGUAAUAGGAGGUCUUUUAAGAGAAUUGUUGGAAUGGUGUUCAUCAUCAUCAAAUCUCUCCAAAAUAACUUCAUUGGUUUCAACUAGGUGAUCUAUUUCUUUGAUGGUUGUGUAAUAACUUUUUUCAACAUUUGCAGUCUUUUUUGCUCUCAUUUCAGUAACUAUAUCUUCAUGCUCUCCUGUUGCUCGAUCUUUUCCAAAAAGUUUGGCCAAUUUAUCAUAAAAUAAUAUUGGCUUAUUUUUCUAUUCAGCAUCUUCGGAUUUUUCCUAUACCAUAAUAAACGAAAAAAGGCAUCACUACAUGAAAUCAAAUAAAAAUAAUUUGGUAAAACAAUUAUAGUAAAUAAUACCUCAAUUAGUUUGUCUCAAACUUCAUCUUCAUCAAUCCACAUAUUUGUCGUUGAAUCUCAUCCAAACCCACUCAAGCCAUUCUGAAAAAGGUCGUAACAAGAAUUAAAUUUUGUUUUGAUGUGUUUCAUAUGAUCUUUUAUCUUUUCUUUGGAAAUUGGUUUUUCCGAAAAAUGAAUCUUCAAUUCUUUAAGAAUGUUAUCCAUAGCACUUGUUGUCAUACUAUUACCAUUUUUAUUUUCCAAUGUUUGCUGAUGGAAAUAUGCAUCAACCAAAACUUCAUCCAUAACAAUUGUACAAUUGCAUGUUUCUAGAUUUUUGAGUUUUCUUGGCCUCUUUAAAUUUGCUUCCAUGUCUAUUACUAAAAAACACAAUAAAAAAUAUAACGUUUUAUGUGAAAAUUCAAAUAUAAAAAUUCAAAACACUAAAAUUCAAUCUGCAAAUUACAAAUAAAAAUCUCACCCACAAAUUACAAAUACAAAAUUCAAUCCAAAUAAAAUUCUUCAAAACAUCAUUAAUAAGAGUAACAAUUCCUUAAGAAUAACUUUAAUAAUCUAGCCACAUAGAACCAGGAACAUUAUUCCACUAAUCAUAUCAUCAUUUUCUUCUCUUUGAUCUUGAUGACCCUCUUGAAAACCUAUUUCACUUUCAAGCUCAUCUUGCACCUCAUCUAUUAGUGUUUGAUUGGGGUCUUCAUCCAUCAAAUAAUUGUGUAAAAUAUAACAAGUAAUAAUGAUUUUAUUUUGAGUUUUAAUAUCAAAUGUAGGCUCUUGUAAGUGGUAUCGUUCUCCUCUAUACGGUGUGAUGAGACAUGCUUUUAAAGCAAAUCCUGCAUCAUCCAGAUAAUAUUUUCCUAAAAAAAAUACUAGUUUAUUAGUUUGUUUAAUCUAAAUACUUAUACAAAUAUUUAUUAUUAUUUUUUAUUACCUUAUGGAACUUUAAGAGGAUAUGCACGUGUCAAUGCACUUUUAACUAUUCUUGAGUCAGAUGUUGUUCCUUCCCAUCCAAUCAAGACUUGUGUAAAUUUCAAGUCAAAUGAGCGUGCAACCAAUAUAUUUUGUGUGGGAUAAUCUUUUCUACCACGGUAUCUAGGUGUGAGUUCUAUUGGAACUUUAACACGCACAUGUGUGCAGUCAAUUGCUCUAAUAUAGUCCUAGAAUUCAAUGUAUAUAUUAAAAGUGUAUAACAAAACUAAUCAAUAUUUGUAUAAGACAUAAUUUUUAUUUACCUUAAAAUAUGGAUAGAAUCUAUGACUGUUAAGUAUCUGCGGAGGCAUUUGUGUUCCAUCAGGUUGUUUUAAAAAAUUUCCUUCCACCUCUAUCAAAGCAUCUAGCACUCUAUGAAAAUGACGACUAACAGUUUCACCUGAGCGUCUAAAAAAGAAGGACAUCACACGGUUUCUGACAUUAUGUUCAACUAUGUGAAGAAAUUUUGCUACUUGUUCCUCGACAGACACUCUUCAUAUAUGUGUAAGUCCACCUUGAUCUUCUAAUAAGAUGCACAAGUUUAAGAAAGCUUUGGGACUCAUACGAAUGAUAUCAUAACAUCGUUCACUUCCUACAAUAUGUUUCAUCAACUCAUUUCUAACUUUCUCUCUUUACUAUGUGAUUCUAUAAGGUAUUUGGGAUCUUCUACACUUGUUUUUUAGCGAACAUAUUAGAAUAAUAAUAAUAGAUACUUGAAGAAUCAUCAUUUGAACCAAUUUCAUAUACUUGAUUCUUAUGUCUUCGUUAGUCAUCUAUAACAAAUUAAACAAUAAAAUUUAUUUUAAUUAUAAAUUCAUAAUUAAAUAAAUCAAAUUAAAAUAUUUAUAACAAAUCAAACACAUCAUAUUAAAAUCAGAACAAAUCAAUUAUUAUUUUUUAUAACAAAUCAAAUACUUAAUUUCAAACUCAAAUCAAUUAAGAAUCAUUAUAGCAAAUCAAUAAUUUAUAUUACUAAUAAUUCUUUUCUUAUUAUGUUACAUAAUAUUAUUAGCAUUGCAAAUCAACAAUUUAUAUUAUUAAGAAUCUUUAUAGCAAAUCAAGAAUUUAUAUUACUAAUAAUUAUUUUCUAUACAAUGUAAAUCCUAUUUUUAUAGCACUAAGAAUCCAAUUUUUAUUGCAGGUAUUUUACUGUAUGCUACGAAAAUGUUAUAGCACUGCAAAUUCAAUUUGUAUAGCAAUGCAAAUCUAAUUUUGGUUGCAAAUCCAAUUUUUAUAGCAGAUAUUAUAUAGCACUGCAAGUUCAAUUUUUAUAGUACUAACUAGCAUUAUAAAUCAUGAAGAAAAUCAACUCAUGAAUAGUAACGGUAGAAAAGGACACGCAACAAUAGGAAAAAGCAACAAGAAGCACGCAAUAGUAUUAUACCUAAUUUCUAAAAAUUGAAAUGCUCAUGAACAUGAAAAUAAAUCAAUAGAACACACAUAUAAAUAGGUAAAAAAAAUAAGAAUAAAUAUGACAUACCUUGUUAGAGUAGAAGAAGAAGAAGGUCUGGGAAGGGGAAGAGUUACAAUGAAUGAAUAGAAAAGUAUCACGUGAAAUGAAGAAUGAAGAAUAUACACGGUUAAUAAAAUUGAAAUUUUGGAGGACAACGUUGUAAUUUUGUUAUUAAUUGAUUUCAUUCCAUUGGAUACACUCCAAUUUGGGGGGAAUGAAAAAUGGGUUAAAAGGAUGGAAUAUAACUCCAUCACACUCCAUUCCAUUCCAUUCCUUUUUUGCAAAACCAAAUAAUGGAAUAUAACUUAUUCCAUUCCAUCCCUUUCCAUCAAUCCAACUAGAACCUUAAUAAUAUACCCAUUCCAUACAACUUUUGAGUUUUAACUUUAUCGAAUAAUUGAUGCAUCAAAUUCAUCAAUAUAGUAUAAAUACAUAAUUUAGUAAGUGAUCCUAAAAAUCAAAUUUUACUUAUAAUAGAGAAUAAAGAGAGUAUGGAUUUUAUUGUUACUUAGGUUGUUUGACGUAGCAAUGGUCUAAAAAUAUACUUAUGAUCACUAUUAUAUGCAAAUUUGAAUUUUUUUAAUACAUUUGACCAUUAACCUAGUUAGUUCGUAUAUAUAUUAGAUACAUUAAUUGUCAAGUGUACUAAAAAAUUCAAAUUUACUUAUAAUAGUGACCAGAGUGUAUAUUAUGCAUGUUUCAUUGAUCACAUAGGUUAUCACGUCAUAUCGAUGACCAAUGGAAGCUUUAACACACUUAAGAGUGACAUGGUCCAAGCAGUGGCAGAUCUUGAGGAAAAUUUUGAUGGGUGCGAAAAAUAAAAUUUUAAAGGGUGCGGAAAAUUGGAAUAUCUAUAUAAAUUCUUUUUUAAAAUUAUCAAUAUUUUUUAGAUGAUGUGGUGAUUAUUUAAAUUUAAAAUUUUCACAAGUAUGGAGGUUCUUCUACUAUUUUUUGAAAAGAAAAAAAUAAUAAUAAAUUUGGUGGAAUUAGGAGUUGAACCCUUGACCUCAAUGAAAAAACCAUAACUUUUACCACUAGGCCAUAUGAAGUUGAACCCUCGCACCCCCAUUAAAUCUGUCACUAGCUCCAAGAUAUCUUAGUUGCAAGAUCAACUAGGGUCGAGUAUUUUAACUCAAACUCAAUGAUUGAAUGGGACACCACUCAUUAUUUAAAUGAGGGUUAAGAAAUCAAUGUUCACCUUAGAUAUACACGUUGUUAGUCAUGGAUUUUCUAUCACCAAUGCUAGUGGCCUAGCCAAGGUAUGCUAAGGGUUCAAUGUACAAACAUAGGUUCGUUAUUCUGUUUAGGUAUCUCCAAAUUUGCUUUAUUCCUUGCCAGUGCUCAAGUUUAAGAGAGCUCAUAUAGUGAUUGAGUUUGUUGGCAGCAAAUGUAAUGUCAUUCCUAGUGUUGGUUAAGUAUUAUAGUGAACCUCAGGGAGAGGUUAGACAAUAGUUCUCUUUCUGUUAUGACCAUUGGAAUAUAACAAUUUCAGGCAUUCUCCAUAUUGAACCUCUUGAAUAUAUCACCAAUGUAUUUGGUUUGUGUUAGGUACAUCCCAUCAGUGUCCCUUUAUAUCUCAACUCCUAGGGAGAAGUGUAGAUGUACAAGGUCCUUUAAUGAGAAUGAUAUGUUGAGCUAGCGGAUGAAUAACUCCAAAAAUUUAGUGUUGUUGCUUGUCACUAUGAUGUCAUCUACAUAUGUAAGCGAGAAGGUAGUGUGGUAUGUGCCUUAAGGAUAAAUAAUGAUGAAUCACUUUUAGUGUUGUUGAAACCAGUUUAACAAGGUGUUCUUUAGUGUAUCAUACCAAACCUUGGGUGCCUACAUGAGUCCAUAAAUUUCCUUGAUCAACUUAAAUAUGUGGUUUGGCUUGGCAGGGUCUAUGUAGCCUUCAUGUUGGUUCAUGAAAAUUGUCACUUUAAUUUGUUCAUUCAAUAAUGCAUUAUUUAUGUCAAAUUUCCUUACUUCCCAAUUUAGAUCUAUUAUUAUGGACAAGAUGAUUCUUACAAUACUAUACAUGAACACAGGGCUAAAUGUUUCCUCAAAAUAUAUGUCACUUGUCUGUUGAAACCCAUUUGCAACUAAUCUUUCUUUCUUUUUUCAAUUGACAUGUUUGCUUUGUACUUAGCUUUGAAUCUCCAUUUAGACUCUAUGGUGUUUUUUUGAUCUUGAUAUGGCACUAAUGUCCAAGUUUUGUUGGAUACUAACGCUCGAAACUCUACGUAUAUUGUUUCUUUUCCACGACGGUCUCACAAGUGCCUCUUUGAAAUCCUUUGGAUUGUAUUCAUUUGAUGAUUCUAACACACAUAUGUAAGAUAGAUUAGGUUUGUAAACAUCUACCUUGCUUUUAGUAUACAUCCAGUGAGAGUUGUUAUUUCCUUGUUGAUUUGGUUAUUGAGGUUGUUAACAGUCUUCACGUUCAUUUAGAUCAUUUGGUCCUAAUGGUUUUGUUAAGUCACCUAUUCAGAUUUCAAUUGUUUUGUUGUUGCUUAUUAUUGAUUGAGUUGGAUUGUCAUUGGUAGAUGUACCAUUGAGAGUUUUUUGGUUUGUAUUUGCAUGAAUGUUGCUAGAAUCGUUUCCCUUAUGUUGUACAUUAUUGAUUAGCUUACUUGGAUUUUCUUGACUUCCAAUGAUGUUUUCGUUGAGUUUUUGAAUCUUAUUAGAGUUACAUAAAUGUUAGAUACAUCAUCGAAAUACCAAGCAUAGUCCUGAGUAUGGUAGAGUAAGGUUAUGAAGGAAAUAUGUGUUCGUUUACUCCUUUUAGUAUUUAAUUCUCUCUUACCUUGAACAUAUUGGAAGUCGUUUCUAUCCAUGCAUUCAGGUCUGAGAAGAUUAAAUAGAGGCAGCUGUCAUACUCUCAAUUUACCCUACAUCCAUGUCACCCUUCAUAACCCUAAUUCAUGAGCAUACAUCCCACACAUAUCAUUUCAUAAGCAUUUGUACCUAAUGAUCCACCAUGUUCCACAAACCAAGGCAUGAGUUUCAUCUAUGAAGCCUCAAGACCCACUGAUCAUAUUGAGGUGUGUCCAAGCCACCUCAACCCUAUCUUCAUCCUCAAAGAUUCCCACAAGCUUGGAGGAUUACUCAAGUCAUCUCACUCACUCACCAAACCCAAAUUGGAUGGUGAAUCCCCAUUAAAGAUCCAACUGUGGCUUCUUAAUGAAGCAAAACCCUAAUUUGGGGUCCCAACUUGGUUAUGGCCCCAUAAACCCUAAUUAUGACUAUCAUUCAUUGUCUGGGAUCAUAACCCUAGUUUCACAUGAUUCUUCUCCAUCCAUUAUGCUUGAUUCACUUGCUUGGCCAUCAUCAAAAUCAUGCACACCAUCACGCACACGAUAGUCCCAUAAAAGUUGCAUCGCGCGCGUGAUGAAAGUCAUCACGCAUGCGAUGACCCCUUUUUCUGGCCUUUUUCUGACGCAUAUGAUCCAUUCUGAGCUCUUUUUAAGGGAAAAUUAUGCACUUUAAUAAGGGUUAAAAAAUUUAGAGAGCAAGGCACGAUUUUUACAACUUCAAGGGUAAUUUUUAGGGCAUCGGAAACCAUUGGAGGCCAUUACUUCAAGGAAAUUCAUAUGUUAUUUUUAUUUAUCAAUUUUGGGGAUCGUUGUUGGGGACUGAUGAUAAUUUCAACAAGGCAACGCUUGUGCAACGUUUAAUUUUUUUUGGUUUUGUUUUCAAUUGUAAAUGUUUUUUUUUUGUAGUUAGUUAUUUUUUCUAUUCUUAAAUUUUCUUUCCUAUUCUGUCUCUUUUUAGUUUAUGUUUGUUUAAUUUUUUUAUUUAAUGUAGUGUUAUUAAGGUAUUCUUAUUUUUGUUUUGUAUGCAAGGCCAAGAUAGUCAUGCAAGAUGACAUCUAUGCUAGCUUGGCAAAGUUUGAAGCUUAUUUAAAGGAGCUUAUAACAAAAACACUCAUUCUGAAAAAUGAUAGAAAUUAUUCAGAGCCAGAAUCUUACAUCAACACUAAUCAUUCAUGUGAAAAGGAUUCAUCAUCUCAACUUGAAGAAACCCUGAUUCAAUUUAUAAAGAUGAGUCAACAAUAUAUUAAGAAACCCAACAAGCAUCAAGAAAUUGUGCUAAGUAACAAGGAAACAACCUUCGAGAAGUUAGAUAUGCAACUUGAUUAAAUAUUCAGUCAAUUAGCAUUAAAACUGAGAUCUAGUGGGGAUUUCUAUGAAAAUAUAUUAGAUAGUCCUAGAGAUGUGGAAUUUUAAAGAGAAGUCAAACAAGAAUGUAAGGUAUUAGAUGAAGGAGGAGUUUAAGAAACCUUGACUCAUUUCAUAAAGAUUACUCAAAUCAAUUUCCGGAAAAUCAACAUGCUGAAAUAAACCUUACAAAGGGACAUGGAAGCAUCCUUCGAGAACUUAGCUAUGCAACUUGGUCUAGUAUCUAGCCAAUUAGCAUUAAAAUGAGCUCUAGUGGGGAGUUCGAUGGAAAAAUUUUAGAUAGUCCCAGAGAUAAGGAAAUUGAAAGCGAAUUCAAAAAGGAGUGUGACUUCGUCGAUGAAGGAGGAAUUGAAAAAGAGAAAGAAGAAGAAAAGUGCACACCAUCUAAUGAAGAAAUAUAAGUAAGAAUAGAAGAAGCGGAGGUGAAAAAUAUAUGUGGGAAAGAACAAGAAUUCAAUAUGAAGAUUAUAUAGUUUUGGAUGAAGCUCCAAACUCAAUCAUUCAUUUAGAUGUAGAUGUUCAACAAUGAAAUCUUCGACAAAAGAAUAGUCAUACACCUAGCAACAUGGCUGAUAAAAGAGGAGAAAUAGAUGAAGUAUUGGAUGAGAUUUAUGCCUUGUUCGAUACUAUCACACUGAAGAAAAUAUGGAAGAAAAACCUUCAAAUCCUGAAAGUGAUGGAAUUCAUAUCAAACAAAAGGAAGAAGAGGAUGAUGUGUUUUUCGUGACAUAUAUGUUGCUCUAACACAAAAAUUGAAAGGUCAAGCUUUGGGCCUUAAAGAAGCGCUUAAUAGGAGGUAACCCAUCAGAUAAGUUUUUAUUUCAUUUCAAAAUUUAAAUAUUAAUUUAUUUCAAUUAAUUGUUUUUAUUUUGUAGCAUGUCACAUUUAGGAGCAUUAUGACAAAGGCUUGAGAAAGGGAUUAAAAGAAGAAAGAGAGACUAAAAAUUCUCUUUAAUCCUAUUUUUUUCUUCUAAUCUCUUUGUACUUUUUAGUGUUGUUGUUGUUUCAGGGAAUGAGUCCAAAGCGAAGUCGUUCCUCUCGAGCAUCAUCACCAACCAGAUGAGGGCAUAAUGGACCAAACAGAACCAAGACUUCAACAACACAAUGCAAGACGUGCAAGACUUUUUCCACUCCAAUGACAUAUUAAUUUGGAGUUUUCUGAAUUUGUAUUAAUUUUUGUGAUUCUCUUUUAAGUCCAACAAUUCAAUCUCUCAAGUCAAUCUAAAGUAUUAGCUACAAUACUUGGUUCCCCUUUGUACCAAUAAAUAUAUGUUUGUCUUUAAUAAAUAAGUUUGUUGUUGUUGUUUCUUUCAGAUUUACAAAAUUACAAUUUUAGCAGUGAACAUAUGAACCAUAAGUAUCAUAAAAAACAAAGGUGAUUAUCAGGAAAGUUCCUUGCAGAUUGGGAGUUGAGGAAGAAAGGAACAAAUAACUACCUUGUACUCAAUCUCUUGAUACCUCAACUAGUAAGGUUUAAGAUUGUUUACUUUUCCUUCUUAUGAGAGUAUCCGUACAAUUGCUAUUUUCUAAAAUUUGCAUCAUUUCUGAUUUAAUUUAUUUGGUUGAUGAAUACACACCAAGGCACUUGUUUAUGGUAAACUUUGAGCCUUUUAAAACUAACUCGUAUAUCAUGUUUAUAUCCUUUGCUAACCACUUUGAGCCUAAGCCCUUUAUUUCAGUGACAUAACCACAUCUAUUAGUCAAUUGAUUUGAAAGAUUAAGGGUAUGUUUGAUAUGGUUUUGGAAAACUGUUUUUUAGUUUUUAAAAAUUAAAAAUUAUAAAAUUUGUUUGGUAGUCUAAUUUUAUAAAACUAUUUUUCAAAACUAUUUUCUAUUUGUGAGUUUUUAAAACUAAAAAUCUAAAAUAGGUUUUAGAGGUUUUGAUUUUUUGGUUUUUAGUUUUGGAAAUUAGGAAGAGGACAAAACAAGGAAAACUGGUACUAUAUUCAUCAAUGACAAAUUUGUAACAUUGUUCAACUUUAAAACAAUUUUUAAAAGUUAGAUUACCAAACAUGUUUUUUCUUCAAAACUGAUUUUUUAAAAUUAAUUUCUAAAAUAGCUUUUAAAAACUAAAAAUUAAAACUCAUUCAAACGGGCCCUAAAUCUUUCCACCAUCUCUUUGGAGUUAGGUAGAAAAUUUAGUUUCUUGAUCAUAUGCAAAAGAAUAAGUUUGGGGUUACUCUUGGAAGUGAGUAAAGUUUAAGUUUGGGGUUGGUGUACUAGAGAUUUUGGUAAUAAAAUAAAUAAAAAAUAAAAAUGAGAAAAAUCAAGAAGUCAAAGCAACUUCUUCAAAAAAAAAGAAGAAAAACAAUGUUUAUGACCAUAAAAUGUUAAUCUCUAGUACCAAAGUAAUUAAACAAGAGUUGAUAUGAAAAAGAAUAUGAUAAAAUAAGGAAAACUAGGUACCUAAAUCCAAGGAUUUAAGACUAUUAUCCCAAAUUAUCCUACCAUGACAUAAGCCCCAUUACAACCUUGAAAGAUCUCCAAAAGUGUGUGUUUAGAUGACUUUGAUUGGUUUUAUUAGAAAUUUUACAUACUUAUAGUAAAAUACUUUUGUAAGUUAAUUGUGUGACCUUGUCAAUUUGAGUGAAAAAUUAGUGAGCUGAGAGACAGGUUGAGUACUUAUUGUGUUGGAUUUUUUUUUCAAUUUUACUCGAUUGAAGUCGAGAACUGGAAUGAUGAUCAAGUAACACAAUUGGUGAUGUUCAUUAGUUAUUAUUGUAAUUCGUUUUUAUGUUUGAAAUAUGCAAUUGCAUGCGAGUUACUUGAGGAGAAACAACAUAUUAAAUUUAGGGUUAUAAUGACAGUCUGUCAUUGCAUGAAUUUAGUCAAAGAAUCAUAUCAAAACAAGUGAAAGAUGAGCAAAAAGGAAGAAGAAAGACCAAAGAAUGAGGAAAAAUAGCUAAGUGUGAAUAAAUUAGACUUAGUGAAAAUUUUGGGUGAAAAAGGGAGCAAAAGAGUGCAACUUUAGGAAAAAUCACGCGUACCAUUGGACGCACGAUAGUCAUAUAAAAGUUGCACCGCACGCGCGAUGAAAGUCAUCACGCACGUGAUGGCCUUUUUCUGGGUUUUUUCUGAUGCAUCUGAUCUAUUUUCUGAGCUCUUUUUAAGAGGAAAUUUUACACUUUGAUAAGCGUUACGGAUUUUGGAGGGCAAAGCACGAUUUUUACAACAUCAAGGGUGAUUUUUAGGGCAUUGGAAGCCAUUGGAGGCCAUUACUUCAAGGGAAUUCAUAUGAUAUUUUCAUCUAUCAAUUUUGGUAUUGUAAUCUGAAUUAUGAGUAGUUAAGCUCAUAUAGGUUAGGUUAUGUUAUGAUGAACUUAUUUCAAUAUUGUUAGGUAAUAUGUUUAUUUGUUUUUGUAUGAACCUUUUGAUCUUUAAUCUUAUUCAAUUGCUUAUUAUUCUUAAUGUUUUUUAUGUGAGAUACUCUUUUAAAUUGAUUAUGGGCAUAUAGGGAAUACUGACCAUUAGUCUAUAUGUUGUACCUAGGGCAAUUGUUGUACUUACACUGGUUGAAUAGGAAUAAGAGACUCCAAGUAGUAAGGGUGUUCAAAACUGAACCGACCCAAUAGAAAACUGCAAACCAAACCAAACCAAACCAAAACUGCAAAAAACCAAAUUUGGUUCGGAUACCCUCACAAUUUGGUUAGGUUUGUAAUUUGUAUUUUAUAAACUGAACUAAACCAGACCAAACUGCAUUAUGUUACAACCCAAACUUCACUUAUCCCACAUCCAACCCAAACCCCAAACCUAUUAUGCCUUAACCUUACAAAUAUUCUCUUACUCACACUUAGUGUUUUAGUUUCAACGUUCUAAAAUUUCUCCUAGUAGUAUCGUGCAUUCUUCUCAUCUUGUUUGUCAUGCACAUAUCACCUCUUCUACUAUAAUAUCUCCUCUCUUAUGUUCUUUAUUUUUAAUUUUCUCAUUUUUAUGUUAUUAUUUUCUCUUUCAAUUACGUUUUUAUCGCAUCUUUGUUCUCUAAUCUCGCAUCUUAUGUUCUUUCUUUUUCAUCUUAUCUAAUCUCUAAUCAUCUCUAUUUUUUCUUUCUUAUUAUGAUAUUUUUGAUAUUGUUUUAUGCUACUACUUUAUGUCUUUUAUUUCACAUUUGUCUAAUCUUAUUUUUGUAUAUUGAAUGAGAAGUUUUUGUCUAAAUAUGAUGAGUUUUCUUGUUAUUUGAUAAAGUAUGAAUGACUAAACACAAAAUUAUGUUGUUCUCUAUAAGUGUAUGUAUGACUCAAUAAAAAUCUUGUAAAACACCAAACCAACCCAAACAUCAUUGGCUUGCUUUGGUUUGGUUUUAUUUCUAAAAGUCAACCGAACCAAAUCGAACCGCUUGUUUUUUUCUCUUGCGGUUUGGAUGACUUUUAGCGUUAGAACCUCCCAAACAACAUCGUGAACACCCUACCGAGUAGUGGCAUAGGGAAUUAACAUUAUGUGCAUCGCCUAAUCCUGCUUAUGCUGGUGGAUUAGGGUUAGGAAGCUCCGAGUAGUGAUUAGUGAGUUACUUUGGAAGGGAUCGAUUAUAGCGGCUUUUUUAAUUCACCGUGGGGUUAUAGUGAUAAGAUCAUUCAUAUAAGGCAUCAAACAACAUCAAUAGAGAAAUAUGGGAUUCUAAACACAACCUAACCUCUUUCGUAAUUCUGUUGAAACACGUACUUACUUUUCGCAUUACAAACUCAAAAACCCUUUUUUACUAUUUUCUAUAUAUUGCACACAUUUUGUCUUAUUAAAAAACAGUCAUUGUGGAUUCGAUCUUUUUAUUACUACGACACUAUUGAUACACUUGUCGAGAAGUCAUCAGUGUCCCUUAUCUAUCACCCUCAAUUGAAUGACUUAAUCAUGUGUAGAAUUUAUCAAACGAUAAAAACAUUGUAUAUUAGUGCCACUACAAGAAAUAAGAUAUUUUGCAGGGACUUUUUCUCAACGACAAUUAAUUUGUUGGAAAAAUAUUCAUAUAGCAAUGACUAAUUUAAAUGAUUACAAUAUAUUUUUUCUCAACAACUUAAUUAUUGUUGCAAAAAAUGACUUAUCUCAUUAACAUUUUUUUAUCUCAACAACAUUUAUCUUCCCUUUCAGGGGUAAGGAAGUGGCGUCCUUUGGAAAGACAUCGAGAAACUCACACACCACUGGAAUAGAAGAAACAUCCUUCCUCUCAUUUGAAAAAUGACCAUGGUGUCUUCAUAUUACUUGUCUCAAUAGGUGAUAUGGAAGUUAGAAAUGCACUCAUUAACUUUGGUGAAAGUGUGAACAAAAUACUAUUAUCAAUGGUAAAAUGAUUUAGGGACCUUAAAUAUAACCAACUAUGACAACACUGCAGAUGGAAAACAAAACUUGAAAGAAAUCGGUGGAAACUAUUAACUAUAUAUUGACCAAAAUGAUAAUUUCUCUUUUUCUAUCGAUUUCAUGGUACUAGAUAUUGAGGCAUACUCAAAGAUACCUAUCAUCAUAGGAAGACCAUUAAUGGAGACCGCAAAUAUGUGGAUGGACAUUGAUAAAGGUCAAACGAAGGUUAUAAUCAAAGACAGUGAAGUAUGUUUUAAAGUAAUAGGUGUUAUGUAACAUUGAAAAUCGUCAAGCUACUGACGUUAAACAAACGAUUGUUAGGAGAAAACCCAAAUAAAUUUUAUAGUUUUUCUAGUUAGUCUUUUAUAUUUCUUUCAAAAAUCACAGUUUAAACAAAAUGUUUAGCCAAAAUGCAAAACAACUCACUAAGCACACUUUGGCACGUGCUAAGUUUUCUUAGUGUGCCCAGUGCAAGAGAAAUACAUAAUUUCUCAUCCAGCUAGUUAAAGCUCGCCUAGAGAGAAAUCAAAAGAAGAAUAGUACCAUAUGGAACUAUGCCAUCGGACACACUCUUUAAAACAAAAUUAUGCAUUGUUUGCAUGGUCAAACUUUGGAAAGGAUAUAAGCAAACAAAACUAAAAACAUUUUGAGAAAGAAGGACCUUAAAUAAUUAGUUUGCAAACAUUUAAAACAUCAAGUUCUGUUAGAUGUUAGACCUAAAUCUAGAAGGGGGGGGNGGGGUGAAUAGAUCAUAAGUUUAAAACUUGACCCAAAAUUGGUUUAGAAAAUGUUUAUAGCGUGGAAGCAAGUUUCAAAAAUUUCCCGGAUCAAAAAUCGUCUAACCGAACAUACUAUCAAAAAACUUGGAUAUGCGUAGAGGUGUCAAUGCAAUAAUAAUAAUGCAUAAGUAAAUCAACAACAACUAAUUACAACUAGUUGAAUACAAUACAAUAGGAAAAGUCUAUCUAUAAUGAACAAAACAGAAAAAAAAAUUAGGUAGAGUAAUUUGUCGAACACUUAUUGUGAGAUCAACAAUGUUUGGAGCUUUAUGUAGUGUUUGUUGUUCUUAGAAAUCCAAUCACAACCAAAUGGUUUGUGAUUUACACAACAAUGAAAAUUUCAAAACGCAUUCAAAAUUAUGAUCCAAACAAUAUUGAUCAAAUGAUCAAUGCAAUCGACAAUUUGUCAACCACAAAAUAAAAGAGAUAGAGAGUGCUCAAGAAUUUGCUUAGGCAGUUCCCCAAUCGACCUCGCUAUGGGUACGUAUGCCCUCAACUCGAAUUUAAAUUGAGAUAUUAUAAUAAACUUACUUUGAAAAAUGUGUGUAUACAAGAGAUGAAUAAAUUGAAAUUACAAAUCCUAAGUUUGAUGUUGACUCUACCACCUCCAAAACCCUUCAUCAAAGAUUGAUCAAGUAACUAACUAUGUCGCUUCAAUUCACAUGUUCUUACUACUUCCUUGCAAGGAACUCCUUGUCCUAAGGAUUUCACCCGGUUGAAUUGAUCCCAAGCGCACACUUGUUGAAACCCAAUAUUUGCCAACACCAUCCACCGUCUCACACUACUCCCUUGCAAGGAACCCCUUGUCCCAAGGCUUUCACUCGAUCGGAUCCGAAUUGCACAAUCUUGUCCAAAACCUCCAAACCCUAAGAGAUCUUGAAGGAAAACCCCAACUCGGUUUUCUGAUUUGAAUCCCUCAAAGUUCUCAACCCAAUAUUCUUAGUACAACAAACCUAAUUGGACGUUAUCAACCAUAAUCUAGAUGGCACCCAAUCAAAAAAUGAUUAUGUAUAGUUUGAUUGUGUAUAUGCAUAUAUGGAGUUGAAGAUGAUGAGAAUGCUUUGAAAUCCUGGAUUCAUGUAGGUUUUAUCUCUUUUUGCCUAUCAUGAAAAGAUUCACAACCCAACUUUAAAGGUUUUUCAUCCUCAUUAUUGUCACUUUGAAUAUCUAUCAUAGAUAUAUUAAUAGCUUCUAACUUCCUUUCGGAUUCUAAUAUUUUAGCUUCUAAGUGUAAGAAGACUUUUUUAUGUGAAGCUAAUUUGUUAAAGGCUUUUAAGGCCUCUCUAUGAAGAUUAUCAAAGGCUUUUUGUAGUUGAAGAUAAGAUAAGUCAUUAAUAGUUUCAAGCUUAGAAACACUUACAUUUUUCUUCUUCUUUCUAUUUUCCAUGAGGAAAAUCCCAGCCGAUUCUACACUUGAAGUGGGGAUUUCAUCACUUGAGGAAUCACUUGUGCUCUCCCAAGUACCAUAUGCUCUUAUAGACUUGCUAGACUUCUUGUGAUACUCUUUAUCUUUGUAUUUCUUAAUCUUAGGACAUUCCGAUCUAUAGUGACCAAAUUCUUCAUAAUUAUAGCACGAACUUCUAAGUUUACCUUUCUUGUUCUUAUCUUCUCUUGAGGAUUUUGCUACCCUUCCAAACUUGGUUAAGUUCUUGUCGGAAUGUUUGACUCCAGUCUUCCUUAUAUACCUUUGGUAUAUUUUUACAAACAACCCAAUCUCUUUAUCAUUAGGGCCGGAGUGCUUCACUCUAUUUUUCCAUAUGUAUCUAUUGUACCUUUUGGAAAAAAAAUCAUAUCUUUAUCAUUAGAAUCAUUGUCACUUCUUGUUUCACAAUCACUUUGCUCAUUGUUUGAGGACUUUGAGCUUGAAGUAUUUAGAGAAAUAGACUUCCUCACUUCCUCUUUGUAUUUACCUUUCUCCUUCUUCAUCUUCUUUUCAUAAUUUUUUUCAUGUUUUUUCAAGCAAGUGAGUUCCUGAUCAUGUUCUUCCAAUUUCCCAAACAAGGUAGUGAGAUCAAGUACUUUAAGAUAAUCCACCUCUUUGAUUGUGGUGAUCUUGGGUUGUCAUUCCCUAUCAAGACAUCUUAGAACCUUAUUAUUAGAAAUAUCAUUGGAAAUAGGGUUACCUAGAGCGUUCAACCGGUUAAUAAGAUGUGUGAAUCUCUUUUGCAUGUCGACAAUGGUUUCACCAUGCUUCAUACGAAAGAGUUCAAACUCUUGAUUCAAUAUGUUGAUUGUAGCUUGUUUAACCUCAUUAGUUAUCUCAUGGAUAACUUCUAUUGUGUCCCACAUAUCUUUGGAGGUUUCACAAUGGGAAACAUGAGAAUACUCAUCAACACGUAAUGCCGAUAUGAGAAUAUUUUGUGCCUUCCAAUCACAUGACUAUAACUUCUUAUCAUUAUCAUCCCAUCGAUCUUCCGGUUUAGGUACGAUGACGCCUUCACCAUUGGUCAUUGUAAUUUCGUUAGGACCAUCAAUGAUGACAUCCCAUACACCCUUAUCAACGGAGUUGAUAUGGAUAUGCAUACAAGCUUUCCAAUAUUCAUAAUUCUCACUGGUAAAAAUAGGUGCUCUAUUAUACGCCCCUUUAGGUUCGGUAGUCAGUAUCUAAUAAGAAAAUCUUAAGCGCAAAAUGAACCGGACCUCGUGAUACCACUUGUUAAAUGAUAUACCUAGAUCUAUAGGGGGUGAAUAGAUCACAAUUUUAAAACUUGACCCAAAAUUGGUUUUGAAAAAGUUUAUAGCGCGAAAGCAAGUUUCAAAAUUUUAGUGGAUCAAAAAUCGUCUAACUGAACCUACUAUCAAAAAGCUCGGAUAUGUGUAGAGGUGUCAAUGCAAUGAUAAUAAUCCAUAAGUCAAUUAACAAUAAUGAAUCACAACUAGUUUAAUACAAUAUAAUAGGAAAAGUCUAUCUCUAAUUAACAAAACACAAAAAAAAUUAAGUCAAGCAAUUUGUCAAAUACUUAGCGUGCGAUAAAAAAUGUUUGGAACUUUAUAUAGUGUUUGUCGUUCUUAGAAAUCCAAUCACAACCAAAUUGUUUGUAAUCUACACAACAACACAAAUUUUAAAACACAUUCAAAAUCAUGAUCCAAACAAUAUUGAUUAAAUGAUCAAUGCAAUCGCCAAUUUGCAAACCACAAAAUAAAAGAGAGAGAGAGAGAGAGAGAGAGAGAGAGAGAGAGAGUACAUAAGGAUUUGUUUAGGCAGUUCCCCAAUCAACCUCAUUAUGUGUACGCCUGCCCUCAAUUCGAAUUCGAAUUGAGAUAUUAUAAUAAAUCUUACUUUCCAAAACAUGUGUAUACAAGAGAUGAAGAAAUCGAACUCUACAAACCCUAAGUUUGAUGUUAACUCUACCACCUUUAAAACCCUUGAUCAAAGAUUGAUCAAGUAACCAACAAUUCUGCUUCAAUUCACCUAUUCUCGCUACCUCCUUACAAGGCAUUCCUUAUCCCAAAGCUUUCACACGAGUUAAUUAAUCCCAAGCGCGCACUUGUUGAAACCUAAGAUUUGCCAACACAAUCCACCGUCUCACGCUACUCCCUUAUAAGGCACCCCUUGUCCCAAGGCUCUCACUCGAUCGAAUAUGAAUUGCACAAUCUUGUCCAAAACCUUCAAACCCAAAGAUAUCUUAAAGGAAAGCCCCAACUCAGUUUUUUGAUUUGAAUCCCUCAAAGUUCUUAACCCAAUAUUCUUGGUACAACAAACUGAAGGUGCGAAAAAUGCAAGAAAGGGUGAAUUUCAAUUGGGUUUUAAAAAUAAAAGCUUUUUACCAACUCAAGAACACCACUUAAAUGUUAAUAGCAAAGAGAUAAAAACACAAGUAUUUUUAUCCUGGUUUACUUGAAACUCAAAGCUACUCCAAUCCACUCGCCAAUGUGAUUUUGCCUUAUACACAAGGACUUAAUCCACUAUAAUCAACUAAUUACAAUAAUCACAAAGAAUAACCUUAUUUGUAUUCUCAAGGAUCCGACUAUACCCUAGUCUCCUUACGGACUCACAAAGAAAAACUUUCUUUGUCUUCUUAAGAAUUUGACUAUACCCUAGCCUCCUUAAGGAAUCAAACAAACAGUUUGAAUAAUAUUUUGUGUGUUACAAGUUGCUUCGAUACAAGCAUAUUUUACAUAAAUGAUAAACAAAUACUUAAAAAAAACUGUGUAUAAAAAUGAUAGCUUUUCACAAAGAAUUUAGGCUUUGUCAAGUAUUGCAGCGCUUCAUAAUUCUUGUUUUAUCUUCAAGUCUCAAAGUCCCACUUAUAUAGCAUAAGAAGAAGGCCAUUGGAGGGCAAAAUGGGGAAAACAAAUAGAGCGGUUGUUCACUGUUGGAUGGUGAAAGGAGUGAUAAUGCGUAUUAUCCUUCGCCCAUAAAUUCAGUGACAUGUGUGAUGUAUAGUAUUGUCCUUGCCCAUGAAAUCAGGUAGUGGAAAUAAUAUUCGAUUUGUACUAUGUACUAUUUGAUCACGUAUCCAUUUGAUAUUAUCUUCAAGUUCAUUGGCUUUUGAUGAAAGUUGAUGAAGCAUGAAAUGAAGAAACAUACAGCUAGAUUCAGAAACUUCAGAAUCCUCAAUCAGAACCUUGACUAUGUCAGCAGCCUGGGUUGAGAUCUUCAGUAUCUUCAGAAUCUUCAAACACUUCAGUCAGAACCUUGAUAACCUCAACGUAUGACUUGAGAUCUUCAUAAUCUUCAACUAAGUAACACAACUUCGGAAGCUUUCCAUUCUUCAAAAGCUUAAUGAUCAGAGUCACUUCCAGAAGCACAAACUGAGAGAAUGUUGCAGCAACAACAUAACGUCUCCUCAGAAGCUUCUCAGGAGUGAAUCAGCACAAAAGCAGAAAAAUAAUUGCAGCAUCAACUUUGAACAUCUUUCAGAAUUUCUCAUGAUUAGUGCAAAAGUGGAAUUUAGAAUGCAAUGUUCAGGAACUCAUGAUGUUGCACGUCAUAUACUCAUAAUCAGAACUGACUGUUAAAGCUACACAGUAACAAACCAUUAGAGUACCAAAAUUGUUCUCACACAAAUAUAAUAUUGUUAUUAUCAAAACUCAAGGUAUAGAUGGAAAACCAAAUAUUGUUCUAACACAAACCUAAUUGAACAUUAUCAACCCUAAUCUAGAUGGCACCCAAACAAAAAUUGAUUAUGUGUAGUUUGAUUGUGUGUAUACAUAUAUGGAGUUGAAGAUGAUGAGAAUGCUUUAAAAUUCUGGAUUCAUGUAGGUUUUGCUCACUCUAAGAACCUAUAUAGACUGAUGCAUGUAUGAAGUAUUUAUAUGCAUGGGUGAUUUAAGGAAAAUAGGAAUGCAAAGGACUUCAGAAAAUAUGAAUUUUUGAAAAAAUACAUUGCAUAGGUUGAUCUAUGAAAGUCAUGUGUCGACCUGUUCGAUGCAUAUGUCGACCUAUCUAAGGUUAUAUGUCGACCUAUGAAUGUUAUGCGCUCCCUAUGUGUUGACCUAAAAAGUCGACACAUGAAACAAAAGCCACAUGCUUUAAUAAUGCAUCAUAUGUGUCGACCUAUAGAAUGCAUGUGUCGAUCUAUAGCUAAGAAUUUUUUUCCAUAGGUCGGCUUGUAUGCAUACAUGUUGACUUGUAGUUUAACAUGUAAUGUCAUUUUUCACAAAAAAUGAUUUUUCAUGCAUGUUUGAUGCAUGAGACCUUUUCCAAGUUAUUUCCAAAUGCUUUUAUGCUUCCUAAUGUUAAGAUGCACAUAGAGAAUCAGAGGAUACCAUCCAAUGUACAUUUAACGUUAACGUAUCAUAGUUUUGACAUCAUACAAAACACAUCUAACGGAAGUUGCACUCACAAGUUCAUCCUCUCUUACAACACUCUAACAAAAAAUCAAGGUAUGUCAGUUUACUCACUUUUCUUGCAUGUAAUUGAAUGUAUUAGUGUAUGCUCUUACCAUUUACAUGUAUUUAAUGGGAAUCCUUAAUGCAUGUUGACAAAUUUCAUAUUAAGCUUAAAAAUGUAACAUGCAUGUAUGAUUUCACCAUUGUUUCAUGCUAAACUCAUCAAAAGUCCAUUUUGGAAUAGUUUAUUGCAUUAAGCGAGCUCGAAGCCCCGCUUAGCGAGAAAACAUCAAAACAAAUAAAAUUAGCAUGCAAGAAUGGAAGAAUGCUUCUUAAAUUUGUUGAAAUGUUUAACACAAAUUUCCAAAAUAUAUUUUGUUGAGUGAAUUUUGCACACGGCUAAAAAAAUCUUAAGUUUGGGUUCAAAGAUCUAUUAAAAGUCUUGUUUAUGGAUUUGAUUAUCAAUUUUUAGAGAUUUUACCUUGCCACCCCCCAAAUUAUACUUAGUACUCCCCAUACUUUCAAAAUUCCCAAACUGCCCCUGACUAAAAAGUGAAUGAAAUUUCCGGUAAGCUAAAACAAAAUUUCUGGUAGUGUAUUGUAAAUUUUCGGUAUACUAGAAAUUUCAAAAGUUUCGGUAAGUUCUAAUUAAUUCUGAAAAAUUUGAAAUUUAUCAUUUGAUAUCGGAAAUUUCAACCAAAGUGAAAUUUCCGAUAGUGUUAUUUGUUUGAAAUUUUAAAUGCUAAGGAUUUUGCCGACAGUUUUGGAUGACUGUGAUUGCACCAACAAUUUUGUAUGGUCCAGAGUAAAUGUAGAAUUGUAUAAAUAGGGGGGUCGCCUGUUGUUCGAUAAAAACAUCUCAAAAAAUGACUCUUUUCAGUUUUUGAUUAAGGUAGGAGUGUACUUCAACGGAGCUUCACCUCCCGUAGAGUUUUGGCUUUCUGAUGACACCACAUCUCUCGUCUGCCCGACGUCUAAGUUGAAUGAAUUUUUGUCUGAUACUGAAAACAUGAAGGCGAGAAAGAUCGAGUUUUGUGAAGAUUGAAUUGAUACUAACAGAAGGGUGAAAUAUAACCUUAUUGAGUUGAAGAUCGAUGAAGAUGUGAAAGAUAUGUGAAGAUCAUUUUGUUGUAGGUUAACAAAGGGGCCAAUAAACUUAGUUGCUAAGAUUUCAAGGUCUAUUGAUGACAUACGGAGGAUGAUGAAACGUCUAGAAUCAUCUGAUAGUGUCCAGGUUUUCUUAUUUAUCACAAUUUUUUUAAAGUUAUGUAAUUAAUUGCCAAAUGUUAGUUUAUGUUGAUUUUUCCUGAAUGGAAGAUAAAAAAUAUUAUCUAAUAAAAAAGUUUCUGAUGAAGAUGUCUGAGUAAUAUACAAAUAAUACAUAAUAUAUAAAAGAUGUCUAAAUAGACCCCCCACGGGCUAUGUGUGCAUCCCGAGAUAAUCCAGUACAAACCUCGCCAUUUAGACUUACCAAACCCAUCAGGUUAUCCAUAAUAACUGCAAUGAUUUGGAGGCGAUACUGGUCACCAGCAUCAGUUGUAGGAGGCGGCGACACAUCAUCGAUAGGUACCCCUGCAUCAGAAGGCCCAACAUCAUCUGUAUUCUCGACAUAUGGGAUGGUGAGAGGGUGUGAUACAGUGAUGUAUCACUAUGAGUAAUCACCCUCACACUGCGAGGGGUGUUGAACAGGAACUACUCGAUCUCUAAUGGCAUGACCAGAGAUGAUGAAGUUACUCUGAAACCACCAAUCAAUUCCCACAUAUGGUAUAUCUGAAACUGGUCGUGGGGUACUCUGAACAUAUUUAUACUGCCGUAGACACCUCUUAGGAAAAUGUCUAGCAACCAUUGUAACACCCCAAUUCUACCCGUCGUAAAUUCAAUUAAAAAUCAGAGUAAACAAUUUUCACACAAAAUUGAGGCAUCACAUAUAUCAUUUCAUCAACACUUAAACAAAUUACACAACACGACAAUUGCGCAAGGAUCCACUUAGUCCUUGUUAAAUAAUAAACAACAUUGUAUAUGGAUUCACCUAGUCCAUAUAGCAGCAAUACACAAAAAAAUCGCAAUGGAAAUCAUUUAGGUAAUUAAGUCGAGUCGUACAUUUACACAUUCAAAGAAAACAAGCAAACAAAUGCCCAUCACAACUAUCAUAUACAAUGAUAUACAAAAGGGCAUUGUUACUAUCAAAAUCAUGAAAAGCGUUCAUUAACCACGCUGAGUGUUAAUCCUAAUCAGAGGCAAUAACGCCAAAAGUGUGCUACACUAUCCUCCUCUCACGGGAGCACUGCACGUUACCAAUUAUAAGGUAACGCCAACAACAAAAGGUGAGAUACUCAAUCAUAUAAUCAGAUAAUGAUAAGCAAUAUAUAGUAAAUUCGAAAGUUAGAAAUAUUGUUACCACAUCGCACAAUCCUUCAUUGAAUGCUUAUGUAUUUAAUCAUAACAAAGUCAAUAAUCAUCCCACAUCAAUGUUACAUCAUAGCUCUCAUCACUUUAACAUUUCAUCGAUCCAUCAUAAACAUUACGAUUCAUCGCAUCAUCGCAAAAUAUCACCGCACUUCACAUAAACCGUCACAUAACAACAAUUAUCACAAAAUGCGGAAAUAAACAUAACCAACAUAUGUGACUCAACUAUGCAAAUGCUAUGCGGUACUGACUCGUCGCUUUGCCAUCAAGGCCAAGGUUUUAUGCCCACUUCGCUUUUGCCAAAAUGCCACGUCGCUAUUGUCAAAAGGCCACGUCACUUAUGCAAAUGUAUGUGACUCCAUGAUAAAUGAUACACAUACACCAAAAUCAUCAUCGCAUCAACAUAACUCAUCACAAUGGCCAAAGCCCACGUCGCUAUUGCCAUUUAUGCCACGUCGCCAUUCACAUGCAUAAAAGCAUUCACACAACAUCAUAUUCACCAACAUUCAUACAUAUGUUUAUAUAUAAAACAAAGGAGAAUAUUCAUCACAAUCAAUUGUUUAAUCAUACAAUCUCUUAGGUAAUUUAACCUCAUGCUAUGUUUAUUUACAUCGCACACCUGCACACUAUAGUUAAGUGGUAUUCCUCAUUAAUCAAAUAGGCUUCCUACUAUAUCAAUUAUUAAUCACUUUUCCAAAAUAAUCACUUAUUAAAAUAAGCCCUUAUAAUGGCCUAUAAACAUCCAACAAACAAUAUAGAAAUUUCAUAAGCUUCGCAACGGCUUCGAACGGGGACAAAAACGGAGUUACGGUUCAAAAGUUAUGACUGUUUGAAGUUUACAAAAAAAAUAAUUUGUUUUCAACUCAGCUGGCGCCGCGAAUUUAGCGCAGGAAACAUAGAAAUGCGUUUUUGACCGUUAACUACUUCCCGGACCUCCGAUUUCGAUUCCGUAAAAAGUCUCAUUCUCAGAUUUCAACGAACUACAAUAUUUUCAGUAUUACAAAGCCAUUCUAAUCCACAAUUUAACUUUUAUUUCAUCAUUUUAAACAUCAUUCAAUUAAUUUCCAACACUUCCUAAAUUCACAAUUUGUGAAAUUACUCAUACUUUAAUUCAUCAACACAAUAACAUAUUUUUCACAACAUACAUCAAUCCCAAACCAUCAACAACAACACAACACACAAUGUUAUUUAUCAUUCUUCUAAACCUAACCCUAUCAUUUUGCAAAGAAUUGAUACAUGUUCAAUAAUCACAAACAAUCAACACUACAUCAAGAACACAAACAUUUUCAAAGCAAGGAAUCCAAUCACAACAUCAAAAUCCAACAAUAUCCUCUAACAACCAUUACCCACAUAAAACCCAUCAUUUUCAUAAUUAUAGGAAAUGAUAACUCACACCCUUACCUUAGAGAUGAUGAUUGAGUUACUCUAUAGUGUUCUAGCAAGCGUUGGGUUGAUCAAGAUGAUGCUCUUCUUCUCCAAUUUCCUCUUCCUCCCCAAACCCUAACGUUUCUCUCUUUUCUUCUCUUUUCUCCUCAUUCUCUCUACUUCUUUCUAUUUCUAUUCUAUUUCUAUUCUUUGUUUUAAUUAAAUAAAAACUAACUAAUGGGCUUAAUUGUUACACCUCCCUUAAUUACUAUAUACACCACUAGGCCCAAUAGCUAUUAUACCACAAAUCUUAUAAUUAAACUCUAAUAAUAUAUUAACAACAAUAAAAUAUUUUACCGAAAUAAUUAUAAAUCAAACAUUAUAAAAAUAAUAGUAAUAACACUUAAUAAAAAUCGGGGCGUUACAACCAUGGUCUCCCACCACAUAUAACCUGAAUAUAAUGAAGACUCUUCGAACUUCCAGUGGACUCUAUGAUCAGUGUAUGGUGUGCAUAUGACAUCAUCUACAGUCAGUGCAUCGAGCUUCCUCCUGCACUCAGUAACACCACAGGGAUGUGAUUGUCUAGGCCUCCAUCUCCUCGCCCGUGGGGAUCCCAUUGGAGAAUGCUGCACUCUCCUAUCACAGAUGGUGGAGAAAUGCCCGUAUAUCCAACACUGAUCCUAAAACAAAGACACAAUAAAUAAUAAAUAAUAAAUGUUAUUUGUAACAAUUAAAGAAGACAUCAAUAACAAAUAAUAAUUUCAAGUAUAUAUGUAACAGACUGAAAUAACCAGCAAGCCGUUUGGUCUCAAAUACUGUCGCCACUCCAAGUGUAGUAUACAGAAUGGUCAAUGCAUCACACCCCCAACCCAACUGGUAACCUCGAGGCUACUGAACAGGAACACAUACUAGGCGUCAAUAUAAACACCUGACUUGUUUGCAAAGAGAGUACAUGCUAUUAGAUGUAGCAUGUACAUCCUAGCGUCAACCUCAUAACUCCCAACCACAAUAAGCUCGUCGUACGUCUUUCGAAGUCAAGACAUACGAAGGUGAACGCCUCUGUUGAAGGCAAACUCCUUCUGCACGGCCUCUUAAGAAACUCCUAAUUUGUGUGCAACAGUCGUACAAGCAAGCGAUGAGCUAAGAACAUGAGUCGUCCAGAAUCUGCUGCUGAUGGGGAGAUGAAACAAUGAGGAGACAUCAUCCAAAGCAAUAGUCAUCUCCCAAAAUAGAAGAUGAAAUGAAGAUGUAUCCUUGUGUCAUCUCUCAACAAAUGCAGUAAGUAGUGGAGCAUCGAGCAUGGUGAGGAAGCAAUAGACAAAAUCAAAGAGCUUUCAUGGCACAAUAACAACAAAUUUUAAAAAAAAAAUAGAAAUUAGCUUUCAUGGCACAAUAAUAAACAAAUUAAAGUUAAACAUAAAAGACAUAUACCUCUCCCUGCCAUAGUCGUAACGCCAUAUGGUCAGCAUACUCAAUAAGCACCGACCUGUUAAUGAGUCCUCCAGAGAAUCCUUCAUCAGUGUGUACAUGGGGCUCGAUCGGAGGAGUUGUAACCUCCGUGUCAGUAGUAACAUGUGUGACUGGAUGACAACAACAACAAUUGGAUGGACCACCGUAGCAACUACCUCAUCAACAACCACAUCAACAUAAACCUCCUUAGCAACCUCCCCCCCAACAACCUCUAUGUAACAACAACAUUUGGCACUCCCACCUCAUCUGUCACCUCAUCUCUGGGCUGCUCAACUGAUCGUACCUGUCGGCGUUGAGUGCUACGAGGUGUGCAGAACUGACCCUGCUCAGCCAACUGUUUCCGGUAUGAAUUGAUUGGAAUCACUUGUCCAACAUGUAUCUCAAAAGACUCAGCAUCAACAAUUAUUAACUACCAAAGAAGGGAAAAUUAAAAAAAAAAUUAACUACCAAUUGAUAGUGUCGUCUAUGCCUUUGUAUUUCACUGCAAAAGAAGGAAAAAUAAAAUAAAAAUUAUUAACCAAAAUUUUUAGAAUCUACGGUAAAAAAUAAAGUUUUUAUAGUUAUCGAAAAUUCUAAAAUUUUCGGUAAAAGAUAAAGUUUUUAUAAUUAUCGAAAAUUUUAUAAUUUUUAAUAAAAACAAAGUUUUUAUAACUACCGGAAAUUAUGAAAUUUCUGAAAAUUUUCAUGGGAUUUUGUAUCAAAAAUUUAAAAAUUUCUGAUUAAAAUAUUAGAAUUAAUAUUGAAAAUUAUGAAAUUUACAAUACAAAAUUCCGGAAAUUAUGAUAUUUGCGGUAAUAAACGUAUUAUUUCUUGUAAUUUCAGAUAGUACUUUUAAAAUUUUCAAUAUCUCCUCAGACUUUUGAGAAUCACGCGUGAAUCUUGUGAUUUCGAAAAUGAGUGAAAUAAUUCUCAUAAGUAAUGGAGGAUGCCUGAUUCAAAUGGUGCUGUAAGUAAAAUGUUCUUAUUUUAUAAAAUCAAUUAACAUUUUUUUAAUUUAGAUAAUUUUGAUCCCUAUUUAAAUAAAAUUAUAAUGAGUAGUGGAGGGUCUUUCAAUUUUGGGAACAUGCAGCGAGUACCAGUGAGUAUGGGUUAGAUGAUGGGUACGUCUUUUGCGGCCACUGAGGGAUCUUCUCAGAGUAAGGGAGUCAUGUAUAUUUAUUAUAGAUGAAUUGUAUGUGAACCACGUAGCUAGGUGGUAUAAAUAUCAAAGGUUGGACAUUUUGAAAAAAGGCAAGAUUCAGUGUCUUGUGAGUUGUGAUUUUCCCACAUUAUUUUUUUCAGUGUGCAUGUUGCUUAGUUGCGUAAUUUUUGCCUUCUCUUUAGGUUAAUGAUAGUACUAGUAGAUUCUAAGUAAAAAACAAAUUAAUUAAUGAUACUAUAAUUCAAACGAUAUCCUACACUAGACAACCAACAUACUCGAAUCAAUCAGAAACUUUUGAUAUAUACUUGGCUUUUUAUAUAUUUUAGGACACUUAUCCAACAAUAGGUUAAGAUGGUUUGUUAACGGAGUAUUCACGUCCUUCUAAUCGGUUAUGUCAAAUUUUCUAAUACCGUUUAAAUGAUUAGGAACGAUCAACAUAACAUCUACCUAAAAUAAAAAUAAAAAUCAUCAUAAAAAAUUCUGACAUAAACACAUUUGUCAUCCUAACACUUUUUUUAAUCAAUUUGAAACAUGUAUGAAUCAAAUUGCUUGUAUUACUCUUUUUGAGAUCCCAUUAAACCAUACAAAUACAUCUUCAAUUUAAAAAUUAGUCUACCUUAACCUGUAUCACUAGGACCUUUUGACCGUAUUAAACCAUACAAAUUCAUCUUCAAUUUAAAAAUUAGUCUACCUUGACCUGUAUCACUAUAACUUUUUGAUUGAUCCUUGUAAAUAUGAUCAUCUAUAUUAUCGUAAAAAGAUACUGUCUUCACAUCCAUAUACUCUAAAGACAUGUUUUGACCGACUACUAGAGUUAGCGUUACCUUGAUGGAAGCGUGUCCAACGAUCAGAGAGAAAAUAUAAUCAUAAUCAAUCCUCUUUUGUUUUGAGUAUCCCUUUGAUACAAGACAAAUCUUGAGAGUUUUUUUUUUUGUUAAUGCUAGUUUUCUCCUUCACACCGACUUCCAACCAAUAACUUUUUCUUCCUUAGAAAGAUGAAAAAAAUGAUUAUGUUUGAUUUUUCUUCAAGGACUCCAUUUCCACGACUGUAACACACAUUAAGAAGUGCAUAACUUACCAAGUAUUCAUACCUACCUAUAUCUUUCUGGUGGCUUGAUGUGACUGCGUUCUCCGUCAUGUAGAAGAGAAUAAUAAUCUUCUCCACUUGAAUAUUUAGGUCCAUGAUAGAUUUUUGUAUCAGAACCUAGUUCAGCUUGCGGUUCAAGUACUACUCACACAUUUUUCAUUGGUAGUGGGUCAAUAUCCACCUAAAUCAUAUUAUUGUUAAAGUUUCUCAUUCAUAUACUGACAAGUCCGUUACAAAUGAUUGAUUCAACAUGAAUUUCUCAUCAAUAACAACAUCCUUGUUGAUGACCAUCUUAUUUUAAACUAGAGCACAUAACUUGAACUCGUUAACAACUAUAAGGGACAAAUACACACUUAUUCUACUUUAGAUCAAAUAUGGAUUGAUCUUUAGUGGAUAUAUGCACAUAAACGGGAAAUUCUUAAAUUGUCAAGAUCAACAAGGUAAAGUGUCCAUGCCUUUUAUAUAACCUUCACACUAAAGAAGUUUUUGGCGGCUUGUUUAUGAGAUAACACACCAUGUUACAUGCUUCUACCCAGAAACCCUUUAGAGAUUCAAGCAUUAAAUUAGAGAUAUGUUGCCUUUUCAAUUAGAGACAUGUUCAUUCUUCCUUCCAACUUAUUUUUUAGUGAUAUCUGUCAAACUAAAAAAUGCCUCUAAAAAAAUGAAUAUGUAUUGUGUCUCAUUAUCUGACCGCAAAUACUUGAUUUUUCUUCAUGUUUAAUUCAUUACCUCUACCUUCCACAACAUGAACUUAUAAAGACAUCAUAUUUAAGCUUCAAGAAAUAUAUCCAAAUCUUGCAAGAAAAACUGGAAAAAAAGUCACAAAAUACAUGGAACUACCCAUAUAAGGCACCUUGGUAGCCCCCACACAUAAUGCAUCCAAUAUAUUAUUAUUUAUGUUUUGUGUUUCCGAAGCUUAAAUCGAAUAUGCAAUUUUUUCUCAAGUACAUAAUAUUUAUAUAAAUCCAUCUUACAUCUGCAAAUAAGCUUCAUCAUCACACACUUACUAAGAUGACUAUGUCGCAUGUAUCAGAGUUUAGUUCCAUCAUUAUCAUAUUCAAAUGAAGCAAUGUGACCUAUAUCAAUACUCCCUAAUAUUUUGUAUAUGUUAUUUGUAGUCUUAUUUGCUCUCAUUACUAUUAAGUCACCAUUGCUCACCUUCAUAAUACCUCUAUUUUCAUCAGACUUGUAAGAGAAACCAUUUUUAUCUAAAGUGUCAAGUGAAAUCAAACUCUUUAUAAACUCUAGAGUAUAUCUAACUUCAUUCGAACUUUGCAUGUCUUUGUCGUCCAUAAUAAUUUUAAUUAUUUAAUUCUAGUGAUAUCAUAUGUUUUAUUGUCAUCCAAAUAAACAAAUCUAAAAAUUACCUGAAUUGAAUGUGGUGGACCAUUCGCGAUUCAACUCAUGUGGUAACAACAUCUCGAGUGAAGAAUCCAUGCUUAUGCAUACUUGGUAAAUGAAAAAUAUUAUAUCUUUUUCAUUUUAAGAAUCACUUGUUUGGACCAUGUUCGCAAAACUUGAUGAACUCCAUUUAUUUUUACCAUCAUUCAUCCAAUGAUCGGUCUAUUUGCAACCAUAAAACUCCGUUUUUGCUUUAUUCUUGAGUUUAGACCUCUUAUUUUCAAAAUAUAUUUCACAUUUGUUCUAUCCACAAUCUUACACCCCCUUCACAUGCAUAAUUUCAUCUUGAUUUUAUUUCUCUAUAUUUAGUCCUCGUUGAGAAUAAAAGAAUAAUGUAACAAUAAUUGCAUCAAAAUUGAUAGUACUUUUCUCGUAGAUAAGAGUGGUCAUAAAGUGAAUGAUAAAAUUAGUAACGAGCACAACAAUAUAAUUGUCUUAUCUUCAUCGUCGACCAUCACUCUAAGCCUCAUAAUAUUGGUGAUUAUGAUGUUUUAAAGGAAUUGAGAAGUUGUUACAAAUUGGAUAAUUAUGCAUCUUCAGACUAUAUAGUUGCUACUUCCUAAAUUGUUUGUUCAUGAGUGUCUUGGACAUAUACUGACUCUCCAUUUCAAUCCAAUUCUGCCUCUAGAGACGUUAAGUUCAAGAUAUGAUACAUCACCUCGUUUGAAACACAUAAACAUAUGGAUGAUGCAAUCUUCUCCGGGAACUCUAAUCAAUCAGUGUCUGUCAUGCCUGCUGUUUUCUUUUUGCACAACAUCUUUUGUAAACUUGCUUAACUAACAAAUUCUUACCCUUUUUUGUCAUAAUCCAAAAUUCAUCGUUAUAUCAAACCAUGUAACUUCAAAUUUUACACCAAAGUUAAUCGUCACCUGAUACUAAUUGUUAGAACAGAAACUAGUAACAAAAGAGAAAAUAAAAACGAAAAUUGCAAACAACGAAAACAAUAUAUGUUUAUGCCGUUCAACCAAGCGUGUCUCUGUUUAUGACUACAAAUGAACAAUAGUUAUGUUUUAUUAUUUGAAUGAGCCAAAAUUUCAAUGUUACAAAUCAUAUAUAUAAUACUACGGUUACUAUUUGCGCUAGCUCGACAAUUCCUUCCCUCUCUUUUGUGACAAUGAGUCAUAUUUUAGAAACAAGCUCGAACAAAAGCUCAAAUAGCCAAACCGAUCACCAUCAAAUUCCCCAAAGACUUGGAAUGAAAACAAAAAUGAUAGAAAACCAGCAAGAGGAACUAGCAAAGAAGAACAGACUGAGCAAAAUUCCAAUGUCAAGGGAACAAGCACAAAGAAGGUCCCAUUAUCCACACUAGUAGAAGGACCCACAUGAUUUGCCCAUAAAAUGAUCCACACCAUUAUAACUUUGAUUUUAAGUCUAUUCUUCAUUUAGUACCUUUUUUUAGGUAUAUGAGUUAUUUUUGCAAUAAAUUUUUGGGUGAUGUACCUGCCUGCACCCUAACAGAGAUGGGGUACAAGAGAAAAAACAUGUUAUUAAAUAUAAAAAAAAUUAAUGCUCACUGAGAAAUUAAAAAAAGUGAACCUUAAAAUGUUUAAAUAAAGUUUAAAUUAGUCCUUAAUUUGAUCCAAAUUUUUGUGAUUUUUAAUUAUCAAAAUAAUGUUUUUAUAGAUUUUUAUUUUUGGCGGGGAGCAAUUAAUUUCGGUAGUUAGUAUAUAUUUAAAUUGUGUAACUUUAUGUACUUGUACUCAACAUGAAGCACUAUUAUAUGUGAAUACAAUGUCAUGCAGAAACAGUUAGACCUAAAUAUUAAAAAAAAGUAACAAAAAAUUGGAUUUAAAAAAUAAUAGUAUUUAACCCUAAACUAAAUAUCUCCUUGUUCAUAUUACAUUUUUCUAUAAAUAGGAAAGCUCUUAUACACAAGAACCAUGAGCAUAUCCAAAACAUCAUGAGUAUCUUUUCAAUGUCAUUCCUUUUCUUAUCUCAUUCCAAGAGUUCUUUCUUCUCUAUCAUUGAAGAGUUUCUAAAUAUCCAAACACUAUUAAAGUCUUGCAACAUUUUCUCACUUUUGCUAUGGUUUAUGUUAGUAACAUCUAUAUUAACCUUUUACCUAAAGAAAUGCUCAAAAAAAAUAUAUCUAGUAGAUUUUGCAUGUUAUAAACCUUUUCCUAAAACCAUUUGUAGUAAGGAUUUGUUUAUAGAGAAAUCAAAAGAUGGAGGACAUUUCAAAGAUGAGAGCAUAGAUUUUCAAAGGAAAAUCAUGAAUAGAUCUGGAUUUGGUGAUAAAACUUAUGUGCCAGAAUCUUUAUUGAUAAUUCCUCCAAAUAUUUGUCUUAUGGAAGCAAGGAAAGAGACAGAAUCAGUUAUUUUUGGUGCCAUUGAUGAGCUUUUGUUGAAGACGAAAAUGAAGGUUGAAGAUAUUGAUAUUCUUAUAACAAAUUGUUGUAUUUUCAAUCCUUCACCUUCUCUAAGUGCUAUGGUUGUUAACCAUUAUAAACUAAAGGAUCGAAUUUUGUGCUAUAAUUUAAGUGGUAUGGGUUGUAGUGCUGGACUCAUAGCUAUUGACCUUGCCAAACAGCUCCUACAGGUUAGAUAAUUUUUCUUUUCUUCUAUUUCAAUUUUAUCAGCAUUAUUUUGUUUUGGCUAAUAGUUUUAUAUUUCAUACUUAUAGCCAGCUGCAUUAAUUUAAUAUAUGUGAUUUUACUGAAUAAUAUUGAAAAAAGCACUGUUUUUUAUGUUGCAAACAAAUAAUUUUUUUUCUUAUAAUUAUAAAUAAAUUGAAGAUAUAGUUUUUUUCAAAAGAAAAUUUUAUAAUUUAAAUGAAAUAAAAAAUAUAUAUACAAAUCUGACCCAAACAAAAGAACAAGAAAAAGUUUUUAAAAAAAAGUCACAGAAAAAAAAAAUGAAAGAUACUGAUUCAAAAUCGGGUGGAAUUGAAGGUAUAGAUCAUUUAAAAGAAAAAAAAAUUCAUUUAUAAAUAUUGCUCUUAUGAAAUGAAUAAUAAAAUAUAAUUAAUAGUAAUAUUAAAUUUAUUAAUAAUUGAUAAUAUUUUAUAAAAAUACUUUUGAAAGAGAAUUAAGAUUUCUAUCAUAAUAUAGAUUGUUGGAUGCAUAAAAAGAUAAUAUAAAUUAAUUAAAAAUGGGUAAAUAGAAAUAAUUAAUACCGAUGAAAAGUUAAUGAUAAUCUUACUAUAUAGAUAUAAUUUCUCAAAAUGUAUUUUAUUUAGAGACCAGCAUAUAAUAUAUAGUUUUGUAGGGCGGUUUCACAUGCCUCUAUAUUUUAGUAAAGGAAUCUCUUUUAUAAAUUUAAUAUUUUAUUUAAUUAUAGGUUUUUGUAAAAUAUAAUCAUACACAUACACUUUAGUCUAAAACAAUAUAUAUAUAAUAUAUAUAUUAUAUAUAUAUAUUAUAAAUAUAUUAUAUAUAAUAUAUAUAUAUAUAGAUAUUAUAUUAUAUAUAUAUAUAUAUAUUUGGAAUAUUCAGUGAUAAUAGACUAUACACAAAACACAAACUAAUAAUGGUACAUGAUAGUGUGAUACUGUGAUGCCUUUAUUUCGUAUAGGUAAACCCUGUCAAGUGCUUUAAAUGUAAUAUCAAACUAUAACUCAUCAAACAUUAAACCUGCAAACAACUUCAUCUUUAACCAAUCAAUGCUUCAUAAAUGAUUUUCCAUUAUUAAUACUAGUACUAGUCUUUUUCUAUGAAACUCAAUCACAAAUCCUAGAUAAAGAGACGGAAGUCGAUAUUACUAAGUUAGACAUUAUUAUUAAAAUUCAAAAUUCGACAUUACUAGGUUAGAUGUUAUUAUUAAAAUUCAAAAUUCGAUAUUCAGAAUUGUGUGUUUGAGUUUCUAAUUAUUAUUAUCGGGUCGUCUCCAUAAAAAAAUGAUAUAAAUAUAAUUUUCAACUUUCCUUCAUUGUUUUAUUUUAAUAUAUUUCUUUUUUAUUUCAUAUUCAUAGGUUCAUCCAAACUCAUAUGCCUUAGUGGUGAGCACAGAAAACAUUAACAGUGGAUGGUACUUAGGAAACAACAGAUCAAUGCUUGUUUCAAAUUGUCUAUUUCGUGUAGGUGGUGCAGCAAUCUUACUCUCAAACAUUUCCUCUGAUUCUCACCGUUCAAAGUAUCACCUUAAACACACUGUUCGUACACACAAAGGUUCACAAGACACUUGUUACAAUUCAAUUCUUCAAAGAGAAGAUGAAACAAACAAAAUCACAGGAAUAUCACUUUCAAAAGACCUAAUGAGUGCAGCCGGUUUUGCACUCAAAGCAAACAUCAUUACACUUGGAAAAUCUGUUUUACCUUUGUUAGAACAGUUAAAAUAUGCUUUAUCUUUUGUAGCUAAAAAGUGCUUUAACAAGAAUAUGAAGGUUUAUACACCUGAUUUUAAGUUGUGUUUUGAGCACUUUUGUAUUCAUACGGGUGGAAAAGCUGUUCAAGAUGAGAUACAAAAAGUUCUUGGAUUAAGUGAUUGGCAAAUAGAGCCUUCAAGGAUGACACUUUAUAGAUAUG